CCACGACAUGACUCAGCAACAACAAGAGGCCUAGCAGUCGAGCUGUCAAACAUAUAUAAGCCAGUAUACGUUAACGGUGUGACAUGCAUUACCAUAUCAGCAGGCAAAACAGCUGAGGAUGGUGCUAUCAGCUAUCUCUUAUAGCUAAAAUGAUCAACACUUCGAGUGAAAAAAACAAAAGCAAAGCAUGAUCAAAGUAACAAGCAACAUACACACGCUACAUACAUGGUUGUACUACCUUCUCUGUCUCUCUUUGUUCAGGCUAUGGUGGUGCUGGUUAGUAGACCAUGACUGGGAUGUGCUACUAAAUGUUUUAUACAGAUUUGGUGUCACUGUCAGCCAUCAUGACAACAGCCUCACUUUCAUUCCCAUGUCUCUUUUGGAAGAACCUUUGGGAACAAAGCCGGAUGGCUAUCCUGGUAGGUCCUCAUCUUUCUUGCAACUUAAUCUUACAUGGCUGUGGAUCAGGUUCUUCCUUGCUGUUUUGUCCUUCUGUUAGGUCAUCUGGCCAACCACCAGCCGCUGAAUGCUACUGCCAGGACAAGGACUGGUCAAGAGCCAAGAGUCUCUCAACUUUAAAAAGCAACAAAUUAUCAUGGAAUGGAAUGGAAUGGCAGUCAUCAUGCACACCAAUCCAUAUUGAUUCGAUUUUCCUCCUUAGAUUUGUUUUUUUUUGGAAAAAUGAUUCCUGGUUAUCUUAGGGACAGAAUUAACAUUUUUAGAUGACAUAAUUAAGGCUGUGUUCCUUUUUCUAGGUAAAAUUUGCGGUUUUUUAGAAGAUAUAGUCAUAUUAAGUUUGCGCUCCGUUCUGACUCUCAAUUUUUUAUAGAAAAAUGGUGCCGUUUUAUCGCAUAAUAUCAACGUUUACAAGAAUGUAUAAAUGGGGUGGGGGAUCAUUGAUUCCAUCGAACAACACUUCUAAGUGUUGCCCCCUGGAACUUAUCAUGCUCAUGUCGGCAAACAACUCUACCUGCACCUUUUUUGUUUCUUGAGAAUUCUCUGAAUGCACCCUUGUUCUGCAUCCAACAACAUGAAGAUGAACGUCGAUGGUGUUCAAACGGGCGCGGCUAUAUGUCGCUUAUAGCUAACCGGAAGGAGGUCUAGCCUCAAGCAGCUUGUCUACCUGUCUUCCCGUCGCUAUGGGCCGGCCGCGGCUAGUUUGUUUCGUUCACUAUUUUCUGUCUUUCAUUCGUUCGCUUUUGUUUUUAUUUUUAAAAUAUCUAUACCUAUACCUACCUAAUAAUAAAGAGGCUAUUGCUUUCAUCGGAAAACCCACCGGGGCAUUUUUACAAAAAAAGCCCCUGUAAUUUUUGUUAUUCAACCCGCACUCCAUCAUUUAUCUGGAACGCAAAAGGAAAAAACGAUUCGCUGAAAAAAUUAUACCCGUACGCAUCGCCUCCUCCCGUCGAUCCUGGGCUACCCUGGUCUGUGCCCAGGCCGCCGCCACACCACUCGCCGCCGCGGCCGACCUCAACUGCCACCGUUGCCGAUCUCAACCCACCCGCCUCCGCAGACGUACCUCUCCCCGCUCACCGCCCCCGUUGCGGCGCUCGAGCGCAUCGCGUCGACCCUGGUCCACCCUGGCCUGUGCCCAGGCCGCUGCCACACCACUCGCCGCCGCGACCGACCUCAACCACCACCGUUGUCGAUCUCAACCCACCCACCUCCGCGGCCGUACCUCUGCCCGCUUGCUGCCUCCGUUUCGGCGCUCGAGCACAACUUCUGGAUCAAAUCAACGGGACAGCUACAGUGACUGAGAUGAUGCGUCUGCUCGAUGCAGAACGACGGCGGCGCGCGGAUAAGGCGCGGCGGAGCCAAGUACUUGCAGGUGGAGGCGGGCCUCCAUGGCUCACACGGGAAACUCCAAGGUUAUGGCGCGGCAACGGCGACUCCUUAUGGCCAGAUAGAGACGCCUAACCCUUGCUCCCCUCAUCGUAUCCCCUCCUCCGGCAGGAACUCAUCAUCUGGUGAGAUUCCCUCCCCAUGCCUCUAACCGUGUGCCAAACACCGGCAAGAAAUUUUGUUUUAUGGGGAUUUGUUUGCUGAUUAAUGAAUGUAUUAAAUGUAAGAUUGUAUUGUUGUAGAGACAGAGAAUGGAACACCACCUUCAGUUUGUCAUCUGAUCCCACAUUCUCUAUCCAUGAGUGAAAUAAGAUAACAAUCCAUUGACCAAUUCACGUAGCCUCUUUGUUUUGUUUUGCUUGUCCCGCUCAAUUUCUCAUCAUGGUGGAAUUAACAAUGGACGGGUUGAUUUCUCAACAAAAUAGGAUAUGACUGACUACAUUAGUUAGUUAACUUAUUAUUUUAAUAAAUCAAAAUGAUUAUAAAAAAUUUAAAAGCAUGUGAUAUUUUUUUCUCCCGUUGCAAUGCACGGGUCCUUUUGCUAGUAUAUUCUAAAAUGCAUAUACUCCAAAAACUUAAACAACAUAAAAAAAUUACAAAAUAAGUGAAGUAAAAAAUGUUAAGACUGCAUUUUUUUGUUAGCAUAGUUACAAAAAUUGUUGAUAGAAUUAAAAAAACACGUGUUCCAAAAAAGGAAAACAUUGUUUUUUCCAUUAUAGUUUUUGCCAGUUUUCAUUAUGCUACUCUAGCUUUUGACAUUUUACUUUUGUCACCAUUUUUUGUUGACAACCAUCGUAAUUGCCAUUGCAUGGCAAACGCAAAAAAUCCAGAGUGGAAAUUGUGAUACAUUGUCAAAAGCUAUGAGCGACAAAAGUGAAAUAAAACUAUUUGACUUUUGUCAAACAAUGAAAAUUGUGAUACAAUCAAAAACUACAAGUGACAAAAUUAAAAUAAAAUUAUUCCGCUUUUUGCCACAUAAUGGCAAUUGUGAUACAUUAUCAAAAGUUAAGAGUGGCGAAACUGAAAUGUUAGAUUUUAGAAUGUCAUGAGAAAAAUUGACAAAAGCUAGAGUGGUAAACUUGCCAAAAAAGUGUUCAUGAAUUUCUAAUUAUAAAUGUACAAAAUGUUCGCAUAUUUUGUAAAAAUAUUAACACAAAUUCAGAAAAAUAUUGAAAAACAUGUGUUAAAAAAGUAUUGACCAUGUAUUUGAAAAUGGUUAACCAUGUACACAUUUUUUGGGUGUAUAAAAAAUAUACAAUGCGUAUGAUAAAGUGGAAAUAUAUAUAUAUUUAAAAUAAUUAUUCAUAUAUUUAAAGGAUCUGUAAUGUUUCAAAAAUGUUUCAUAUCUUUCCCUAAUAAUAAAGGAGCUACCGCUUCUGUCGUCCGUUGCGGAAUUUGCCCCUAGACUUCGCAGGAAUUACGCCCCUAUGCCACCGAUGAGUGGAAAAAACGAUUUUGUUUUCCUCUUUUUUUGAAGUCAGGCGUUCGUCCAUUCUCCAUUUAAAAUAAUACCUGAACAAAUCACAGUUCCACGCGCAUCCCACUGGUCUGAGUCAUGCUCUAUCAUCCGGGAGACCUGAGUUUGAUCCCUGUUGCUGCCUUUCUUAAAUUAUUAUUUUUGCUUUUUAAUUUCAAUAUCUCCUUUACCUCUUUUUUUUUCUGAAUUGUAUUACAUUUCAGGUUUUGGUGUCUAAAAAUUUCAGUACAAAAUAAAAUCUGACAGUAUAUGCCAUUUAGAGGAGUAUUGCUGUCAACAUAAACUUUUUGUUUUGUCCCUCAAGUUUUCCAGUUUUCUUCUAGAUUUGAAUAUGUUGUUGGUAGUUUGCAUUCAUAGAUUUUUCGUAGCAACUGACAGAAUAUAUUAUUAUCAAAUCCAUAACUAUACCAUAAUAGUAAAUUCCACCAAGAGCUCGGGCGAGCAGACUGUCACUGGGUCACAUAUCCUCAUUUUUCUCCAUCAAGUUUCACUGGAUGAAAAUGUAGACGUUGCAAUAUUUAGAUUUAUUGUGUGUGUCGACUCUAGAUAAGUUCGAUGAUUCAAGAAAACUAUUUUAAAAAUGUUCACAUUUUAAGAAUAUAUAUUUGCAAAUAGUCUAAAAUGUUCAUGAAUGCAAAAAAAUAUUCCUGAUUUUAGAAAAUGUUCACGAACUUGAAUUUUUAUCACAAUUUCAAAUAUUUUUCAAAAAUAUGAUUUCACAAAAAUGAAAUUUAUAAUGUAUUUCGGUGAUGUAGCAAAAUAUGGUUAUCGCCGUUGAAAAUUAUGAUGUUUUUUAUUCCGUUGCAACGCACGGGCCAUUUUGCUAGUUUAUACAAAGAUGUAUAAUACGUAAAAAAAGUGGACGUGAAAACCUAUUUUGAAAAUAAACGCUAAUCAUGUAUUUGGAAUACGUUAAACACACAUAAAUAAAUACUUCUUAUUUGGACGAAAAAGAAAAUAAUAUAAUAAAUAAAUAAAAACUGAGAAAGAAACAAUAAAAACCGAAGAAAAAAUCGAGAAAACGAAAAAGGAAACCGAUGCAAAACCUCUCCUCGACGCGUCCCUUACCGGGCAUCGAACAAGUAACGAGCGGGCCCGUGCCUUGACGUUCUGACUCUCAGUUAAGAUGGGCUAAUUCCAACUCUCUCUUUUUUUUUGUGAUCUGGCUAUUUCCAAAUGGGCGGACCAUAUAUUAGGCCGCAAGUCCAUCGUAUACUUUCGUCCCACUAAGGUAGUUCUUCUUAAAUGGGCCGAAGGACCAUCUUAUAUUGUUCGGCCUGUUUCAACCAGUCUUUCUUAAAUGGGCCAUAGUCCAAUUCUCCCCCAAGAAAAUGGGCCCUACUCUUCGUCUAUAAAAUUACCGCUCCCCCGGCGGAGGCCAACCCUCUCAAAAACCCUACCCUCCUCCUCCCUCCAUCUCCGGCGGCGGCAGCAACAAAUUUCCGACGCCAUGAGGCCACCGGCACGAGGAGGUAACAGUCCGUCGCCCUACCCUCGGCCCUAUUCUUCUUCCUCACAUCCCCGAUCUCAUCCGAAGACGCUGUUACGCUGCACGCAGGACGCGGCGGGAGGGGUUUCGGCGGGAGGAGCGACGGCGGCGGCCGCGGGGGGAGGGGCUUCAGCGGGAGGAGCGAUGGCGGCGGCCGCGGGGGCCGGGGUGGCAGGGGCGGCAGGACGCCCAGGGGCCGCGGUCGUGGCGGGGGAAGGGGGGCGCCCGGCAUGAAGGGCGGGAGCAAGGUGGUCGUGAUCCCGCACAAGCACGACGGCGUCUUCAUCGCCAAGGCCAAGGAGGACGCGCUCUGCACCAAGAACAUGGCCGCCGGGGAGUCCGUCUACGGCGAGAAGCGCGUCUCGGUCCAGGUCAGUGCCCGCUGCUCCCGCUCUUACUCUUAGAGGCACCAUAUCAACAUCGGUUAUGUGCCACUAGCGGACGUCGAUAGAUCAAUCAACUUCACUAAAACCAGCUUAGAUUUGAGUGCAAUCGUCUGUUCACAGGUUCUUGUUAGAUGAUUGUUUCCCUGUGGUAUCAGAUUUCCUGCUCUGUUGUGUUCAUUGUGCAUAUAUCAAACAAAGUAUGCUUAUUUCUGCCCUGGUAUUGCAGAACGAGGACGGGACCAAGGCUGAGUACAGGGUCUGGAACCCCUUCAGAUCAAAGCUGGCUGCCGCCGUUCUUGGAGGUGUCGACAACAUCUGGAUUGUAAGUUCGUUGUGCUUUAGCAUGUAUUACGUGUAUUCAAACCUUGCUGUUUCAGGUUGCGAUGUAGAUUAGCGUACGACAUUGUCUAUAUGCUGACAUUGCACUUCUUAAUUCAGGCUCCUGGUGCUCGUGUGCUGUAUCUUGGUGCCGCCUCAGGAACGACGGUGUCCCAUGUGUCUGAUAUUGUUGGACCGGUGAGACAUCAUAGCUACUCACUAUUGAUCAAAUGCUUCUGUUUAUGUGAGCUGUGGUCUUACAGAAAUCUCGUCACUUGCAGACUGGGCUGGUGUAUGCUGUGGAGUUCUCGCACCGCAGUGGCAGGGAUCUUGUCAACAUGGCCAAGAAGAGGACCAAUGUGAUCCCCAUCAUUGAGGAUGCUAGGCACCCUGCGAAGUACCGCAUGUUGGUCGGCAUGGUUGAUGUUAUCUUCUCAGAUGUUGCACAGCCUGAUCAGGUAUACCUGUCAUCAUAUAAAUGCCCACAAUAACUAUUUGCUCAUUUGCCUAUGGGCAGGCCUAUCCAUUGUGGUAUGUCAUUGACUGCUAUGUUUGGAUCACCUUCUGUGGCUACAUUGGGGCUUAGCAAAUGAUGAGCUUACUCGGAUUCCCCUUCAGGACAUCACAAUGGAUGAUGCAAAAUCGAGUAUCUGAUGCAUUUUAUGCCCAACGCCAGUCCAUUUCUUAUUUAUCUUGGAUUUGCUAGGCUUCUCUUUUGAUGUCAUCACAUUGGAUGUUACAUGAAACUAUUCCCAUUACAAUGGUUAUCAAUAGCACUAACCAUUUAUGUAUACAAGUACUUGAACUGCUCCGCUUAGAUUUUGUAAUUAUGGUUUACAUCAGAUUAUUUCUUUCCAUUAUGGUUUAUCAGUUUGCAUUGCUUUCCUGGUUUUCUUUGGCUGUGUUGGUGCUAUUGCUGAUGAUGAGCUUACUCGGAUUCCCCUUCAGGACAUCACAAUGGAUGAUGCAAAAUCGAGUCUCUGAUGCUCUUAAUGCCCAGAAUUCCUACUUGUAUCACCAUAUUUGUUGUGUUGAUUUUGAUUACACUUGGAUUUCUUACUUCACUUUGAAUGCUGCAUGAGUUGAUUCCAUUUCAAUGGUUUCAAUAAUUCGCCUCUUGUAACAUGGUUCUUUCCUUAUUUGUAACUGUCAGUUUGGAAGGUUGAUUUAUGCUUGCUUGAUGUUGAACCUUGCCACUGCACAAUUCAGAUUUGAUAAAAGUAUAAUUGCUUAUCCCUUUUGCCGAUUUGGUUUGCAACUUUCCCCUUGCUGAUAGAAACUUUGAUCUUUGGUGUGGCAUGUGUCGUACUAUAAUACUAAGAAUUAUGUUAGCAUAUGGUAGGUCAUUUCCUCUUAAGGUGAAACUGUCUUGAAACUACUUACGGUGUUGCCUUACUGAUAUGUACACGUUUUCAAGGUUGCAGGGUUAGACAGCCGGUUAUUGUUGUGAAGUGUCAAAACUCGAAAUCUUUAUGUUUGGUUAUUAAAUUGUACCUUGCUUUGUUUACAACAUUUAGUCUCUGCACUUUCAUCUCUUCCAACAUACUGAUGAUUAUAUUAACCAAGAUUAAGAAUUGUAAUUAUCUUAUGUGUUGGUAAAAACAUUAUAUGCAGGUCGUUCAUCUUUGAAAUUUAGUGUUCAAUAUCAGCUUGAACAACCAAUAUGCCAUUGUUAAGUAGCGAAAACAUUCAUAGGUGAUACUAAACUGUACUAUCAUUCUUAAACCUGUCAAACUAUCUUCUCUCCUGCAGGCUAGGAUCUUGGCCCUUAAUGCUUCAUACUUCCUGAAGAAUGGUGGUCACUUUGUCAUUUCAAUCAAGGUAUGUACUGAUUACAGAUUCAAGAAACAUUGCAUAUGCCCUGGAACAUGAUUUCCUGGAAAUGUUGCAUUUAUGUAAUGGUUCUUCCUCUUGCCAGGCCAACUGUAUCGACUCCAUCCAGGCUCCCGAGGCCGUGUUUGCUGCUGAAGUUGAGAAGCUGAAGCUUGAGCAGUUCAAGCCUUCGGAGCAGGUGACCCUGGAGCCCUUUGAGCGUGACCAUGCCUGUGUCGUCGGUGGAUACAGGAUGCCCAAGAAGCAGAAGGCGACUUGAAGGAAAUAGUUAUAUAUGUUAUGCGCUAUGAUGUUCUAUCGUUUGUUAGUAUUAGGUCCUAGGUGUUAGGUGUUGGUGAUAUGAUCCGACAAUGUUGGUUCUAUAGCCUAGUUCGUUUAUAUGGUGUUGGUAAGUGGCUGAAUGAUUUUGCAUGCCUGUUAGCAAUUGUUGACUUGUUGGCAGUGUUAUCCAUGAAACCAUGACUUCCCAUUUGCACAGCUUUUUGUAAGCUUAUCAAAUCCUGAAUAUGCUUCAUGACCUUAGCAUCCUGUAAAGAUGUGUCAAUUUUUCUGACAUGUACUCCCCCGUUUCAAAAAAAUUGUCUUAGAUUUGUUUAGAUAUGAAUGUAUCUAGUCAAGUUUUAGUAUUUAGAUACAUCCAUUUCUAGGCAAAUCUAAGACAAAUUUUUUGAGACGGAGGUAGUAUGUGUUUGACAGGUAUUAUAUAGACUAAAAAUCUCAGCAUACACAAUUCAGACUAAGCAAAAUACAAAAAGCUUUUCAAGAUGGAUUUUUUGGUACGAUGCACACGUUUGAUUUUUGAGAAAGCUAACACAUGAAUGAUGACUUUGCUUGCGAAGCACAAGCUAAACAAGCAGGAUGUCCAUUCUUAUCUCCCCCUCCAAAUUUGUCUUGAUUUUUAUAUUUCUACAUUGUUUGAUUUUUAUAUUGCGACAAGUUGAGAGAAGUAAUAAAAAAAUGUGCGUUUUUUUAGGUUCCACCAGUUCUUUGGUUGAGGGGCCACAACCCGCGUGAAUCUCUCAUAUAUAACCGUCACUACAAGCCUUAUUUUAGAAGAACAGAUCUUCUUCAGUUUGUGCUUAAGUUUAAAGGCACACCACCCUCACUGAACUCUACAGCCAUUACCACCCUUACGGACCGUUGAAGGCCGAAGACGCACUCUUUCCACUUUGCUCUUGGUGAGAUGACCAUCACUUUGAAGGAUAUUGCGAUGAUCUCCAGGCUACUGAUCGAGGGCAAGGCUCUUAACUGGAAGGUGAAGUCUCAGGGGUGGCGACAAUGGGUUCCAGGAUUGGUUGGUGUUGAACCACCAACAAGGAUUCAGGAAAUCAAGAAGGAUCCUAGACCAUCUGGUGUUGUUCCCGUGGCUACAAGAACAUUUUUAUGAGUGUCAGAGGAUGCGAGUCCAGCUAUUAUGUAGAGGUAUACCAGGGCUUACUUAUGGAAUCUUUUGACCCAAGUGGUGUUUCCGGAUAGCACGGGAGACACGGCCUUAUGUAUGUUCUUGGACCCUCUUCGUAAUUGGGAUGAUAAGUGAAGUUGGGGGUCGGCGACACUAUCCUUCUUGUACCGACAGAUAAUGCUUCCUAUGAUGCAUCUUCCACAUCAUUUUUCAAAGCAAUUUGGAGUACAACAAUGCGCCCUGCCAGACUAUGUUGAGACAAGUGUGCUGCUACAUAGGUGAGAGUUUUUUACAACACAUGUUGAUCAAUGUGUAACACGAAAAAUGAAACUGAUGUAUUCUUCUCAUGCUUUGUAGGACGAGUUGGUAAAAUAACAAGAAUGACACAAAUUGGGAGGAUCACCACCUUAUGUGGGUGGACAUAUGGAAUUCUCAGAGGAAUGCUCGAGUGGAAAAUGAUCACACACCCGACAACGACGAAGGGGCAUAUUUAGGGCAUUUAGAGUGGCUUCGCAAAGAGUACAGAGUUAUCCACAAGGGUGUGUGGACUCGUGUCGAUUUCUUGGACCUAAUGCCAAGUGAGGCCUUUGAUGGUGCAUUCAACAUCUCUAUUAGGGAGACCAUUGGAGCACACUUAGAUUAUGGCCCUCUGCAUGACCGAGGGGUAUGUCUCUCUUGUGCCUCUCUUUUGAAAUAUGAGCACGUGUCAUUUCUUUGUGAGUGGUGUGCCACAUACGUUCUAUUCAGGGCACAGAGCUAUGGAGAUGUAUCAAUGAUAGUAAUGUGGUGCUUCGCCGUGCCCCUGGUUCAAAAACGGACGAGCUUGUUAGGAGUACUCUACAGGUUAGAGGCCUAGUUAAUAUGAACUUGUUAUUUCUUUCAUUGUAACUUUUUUUGCAUAUUAACAUGUCAAUAUAUUUCCUUAUGCACAAAGUCGUGAAUCAUUGCUGCACCCUAGCCACUUUACUCUCUUUCCACGCUGGUUCAUCCACGGAUGUGCGGGCACGUGCUUAUUAUAGAAUGGAUGUGCUUUCUUCCGCUCGUGCUUCUUUGAGGGAGCUCGUGCUUCUUCGAGCGGGGCUCAUGCUUCUUUGAGCGGAGCUCGUGCUUCUUCGAGUCAAGCACGGAUUGAGGAAGAUGAAUAGUAGAUAGAUAAAGAAGCGAUUCUGCACUAUGUGGAACUCGGGGCUUCGCAGAUGAAAGAAGCUCCGUAGCCAACUCAACCUUCUCAGCCGUCAGAACAAGCACGACAAGCUAGUUCAAGAACUAGUCGACGUCCACAAUGGCAGAGCACUCCAGAGGGGUACAUCAAAAAGGGCAAGUUACCUUCGAAAAGAGGGAGGAAGUGAAGUGAUGACUGAUGCUUUAUGUUUCCUGAACUUGUCAUAUAGCUUUGUGUCUUCCAUCUUGAAAAGAGGGAGGAAGAAUUGAAUGCAUGAACUUGUUAUGGUUUAUGUCUCGUGAAUUUGUUAGUACUAUGUGUCCUUAACUUGUGAAAAUAUGUGAUAAUGCUAUGUGUGAUGGACUUGUUAAUUUUGUUGUGACAAUAUUAGAAAUUUUCGUAGAGCUGAAAGUUCUGUGAUUGCCAUAGUAGGCCAGCAAUGCCAUAGACAAUGGCGUUUCCAUGUAGGCUGGUAACACCGAUGGCUUUGCAUUUCCAGCCCACAGGGAAACGUUCCCUUCGCAUGUCUCUUGCAGCUCCUGUCUUAAAGAAACGCCAGGGAAUCCGGAGGCUUAUAUGCUUGGAACACGAACUGUCCUGGCGUUUCCAGGAAACAUAGCAACGCCAUGUCCUUUGGCGUCUGUCUAGGAACAGAAAAUGCCCCACACAUGCUAUACAAUCACAUUUUUUGGUACACUAAAAAUGUCACGUAACACAUAGCAGAACUAGAAAAUACACAUGCGAGUUCAUAGGGUACACAUAGAGUAGUCCUUAGCAAUUUAGAGUACACACGGAGUAGUCCAUAGCAAUUUAGAGUACACACGGAGUAGUCCAUAGCAACUUAAAGUUCGAAGAUCAUAAUGUAGGCGACGAGAAGGUUUAAAAUAAAAUGCAUGAUGAGAACCAGAGUGCUCUAUUGUGUAGAGCAAGGCCCCUUUUCUUUUUUCUUCUUCCUCUCUUCUUCUUUCUCCUCCUCCGUUGACGGAGUAGUGAACGACUUAAACGAGAAGGCUACACAUGCGGAGUUAAGAUCCUUGCAAAGAUCCUUGUUCUUACAAGCCAUGUAAAAGUUUGCAACAGAGUGCCUCAUACACCAUCGAUGGUGAAGCCUCGCAUGCCCUGGAAUGUGAAUAUCCCGGCCUUCAAUAUGCCUUGGUGCCGAUCGGAUAUGAUGCAUACCUCCCUAUUUGAAGGAAUGACUGUGGUCCUCACUAGUCUCAUGAACCAUUCCUAGUUGUCUUGGUUCUCGACGGCCACGAAAGCAAAUGCCAAAGGCGACACCUGAUCAUUAGCAUCAUGUGCCAUUAGCAUCAUGUGCCAUUGCUAUAGUGAGUGUGCCCUUGUAUUUGCCUAUCAAGAAUGUUCCAUCUACAGACAUAACCGGACGACAAUGCUCAAAAGUUGCAAUGCAUGGGCCAAACGUCUAGAAGGCAUUACGGAACACUCCUUCAAUAUCUUGAACAUAUUGGUACAUUCCUUGGUUUCUGUAGGACAUCGCUCCCAACAACCUGGGUAGCAUGUUGUACGCCUCUUCCCAUCCGCCAUACAAAAUUCUAAGAUAGACUUGCUUAGCCUCCCAUGUCUUCCCGUACUUGACCUUAUAUCCAAACUUAUCGUCAACCCAACUCAUCAACAACUUCACUUUAAUGGUUGGAUCCUUGGCUAUAUAUUUUUGGUAUUUAUAACCGAUGAAUUCCGAGGUUAGUUGACGGUGUGUCUUCCAUGCUUCUAGGUCGGCGGUGUGCAUUGGUGAGUGGCUUUGCAACUUGUUAUCUUCCACCAACUAUAUUUUGUGAUUUUUCCGUUGAAUUUCCAUUUGCAUAUUUCUACUUCACAUUUCAUGCUGUAUCACUAGUUGCUAUCAGAGUGAACAACUAUCAAAGGUAUGUGGUGUUUGACAGCAUACUCACACAACCACAUCUUGAAUUCUAGCAUGUGCUCAAACAUCAAACCUUUCUUUAGGUAAGACAUCGAAAUCUCGUCGGGUGUACUACUUGGGAACUGUCUAGCCUCAGUUGUCUUGCUCACGUCACCGUCGACUAUAGCCUUAUUUGCAAGGCUAGCAUCACAAAAUGAGGGAACUUUGUGAUCCCUAACUUUCUCAGUGAAGCCAUCCUCGUCCAACUCAUUCACCGGGCCUUCAUCAUCCGAGUCAUCCACACAAGCACGUUGAUAGAUAAUGUCAGGAUCCAUGUUACUUGAGUCUCUACGUCACCCACAUUGUUGUGCUGCCUCUCAUACUCUUCCUGGGAGUCAUGACCAUCAUUACUAGGUGCACUACCUGCGAACUCAUAUUUGGGAUACUUAUUGGCUUGCACUUCAACUUUAUGCUCAACAUCAUCUACCAAGUUUUGGUUCAAGUCAACUUGAAAAAGAGGACCUUCCAUCUUACUUGCAAACAAUUCUAGUUACUUGAUUGUCGACGAUGCAACAACCUCCUUAUAUGCAGCCCAAUGCAAAUUGGACCUAAUAGGCAUUGUCUUCAUUCGACACUUGUGUGCCGACCCAACAUUAUAUCUUCCUACUAAUUCAACUUGGUCACUUGCAUCAACCCACUUUAAUCUUGUCCUUGUUUCCUCCACAACCUCAUCAUAACUAGGACCCUCAAGAUAUAUCAACACUUCCUCAUACUUGUCAACAAUAUCAACAUUCAUGAAUGCCUCUUUGUCGACAUAAUUAAUAUUCACAAUAUUUUUCAUCUAAAAAAGACAAACAUAAGUACAAUAAACAUACCAAAUUGCUAAUAAAACGACUUUGUCCAUCCAAAUUAAGCAUUACCAAGCAUUAUCCAAACCCUAACUCUAACCCUAAAUCUUAACAUUAGGCAUAACCCAAACAAUAAGGUUUGUUUACCAACAUCACAAUGCAACACUAUUGAAAUAACAAUGCUCAGCCACAUCAUAUUGUAGAACCAUGUUCAAAACUAGGGUUAGGAACCACAUGAACAAAACAAUCCAAAUAGACAAAUCCAACCAAUAAAAAUGUGUGAGAUGAAGGAGGUUACCUUAAGGAACGGAAAUGACACCGGAUAGACAUACCCAAUUCAAUCAAUUUGCAAGGAUUUGAGAGGGGCCAAGUGAGGGACACAAAGGGGGGAAAGGGAGAGAGCUCGGGAUAGCCCAAUGGGGGAGAAGGGAGUGAGUGGUGUGUGACUGCUGAGAGCUGCACGUCCAUCUACAAACUGGAUCGGCGUUUCUGGUCUGCCACGUCAGCGAACAACGCGUGCUGGGUCUGACAGUGGGCAAGGACACAAACACAAUCUGGGCUGGUGUUUCCAUAUUUUCCAGAAACGCUAUCUACCUCGUUGUUUCUGUAUUGUGCUGAAACGCCGCGGUCCAUGACAUUGCCAAAAGGAUAAGAUCGUGAAAUACUUUCGUCUUGAAUUCAAUUUGUGACUAUCGUCACUCACAAGGUCAGAACAAUGGUUUCGACCUUCCGGGAACAAAUCCAUACACGUUGACGUUCAUAACAAAGUGGAAGGAAGUAAAUUUUCAUCUAAGACGAACGUAUAGAGGAGCUAGCCAACAAAACGCAAGCAAGUUGAAGAAACCGUAGCUACAACUUCCUUUAUUUCUAAAUAUAAGUCUUUGUAAAUUUUUCAUUAAAAGACUACAUACGAAUAUAUAUAAACAUAUUUUAAAAAAUAUAUUUAUUUAUUUUAUUUUGUACAUAGCUUACUAAUAAAAUAUUUAAAAAGAUUUAUAUUUAGAAACGAAGGGAGUAGAUACAUAGCUUCUUCCAUAGGGGACCGCGGCAAAAGUUGUUGGUUGGAGCAAAAAAGGCCAGACGUCACGCCCCAUGUCGAGACGUACAGACACGACGAGUAGUCUCGAUCAACCAUACGUACGUCUCCAAGGUUUGAAUAAUCCCGAUGGCGACGGCCCAUCAUAAACUUCUUUCCAAUUGUGGGGGCGCCCCGCUGGCCACGACGACGUCGAGCUGAUCCAUGGUUCGGGUGAUGACUGAAAUGGGUCUACGAGUCUAGAUACAUCCAAUAUGCAAUACAAAAUGCACAUCCACCGGAAAAUCAUCUACAUGCUUGCGUACGUGGCGACUGAGAUGGGAUCAUGACUGAAAUGGCAGCAUCUUGAUUUGCACGAACCGUUUUCUUGUCUUCCGGACGCUCUGCACAAACGUUGAUACUCUAAUUUCAGUGACUGUUGCUUUUGCUAGACACAUCCAGCCAUGUGAGUAGGUUAAUACUUUUGCUACACACAUCCAGCCAUGUUGUAUUGCAUACUGAAUGUACCUAGACGUGUAGAUCAACUCAUUUCAGUGACUGUUAAUGCCGUAUAUAUAUAUGUGUGCUGGUUUAUUACUUGGUGAAAACUUUCACGUCAAUUUUUUUUCCGAUACGUCAAGUUUGUUGUUGUCGAUGGUCGGCCAGCUUUACUACUGCCUACUGCGGUGGGUGGGUGGGUGGGUUUCCGCCGACCGACAAGUCGGGAUUAGAGAGCUGCCAGCCGGCCUUGGUCUGUGCCUUCGACCCUUCGUGGAGGUCCACCGGAAGUCUGGAACGAAGGGAUGCCCGUAGACACAUGUCCUCCGCCUCCAUGCACGGCACCCACGUCACCGGCCGCCAUGCAUGCCCAUGCACCAUCAUCAGAAUUUUAUACUCCAUGGCACGCCACGUCCGCGCGCGUGCAAGGCUGAGUUGGCACAGUACAUUCAUCGCAGCUUAAUUUGACAGCUAAGGACAUCUAGAACCGCAUUUUCCAAAUCCGACCAGUCCGCAGACGCGCCCGCGUGAGUUCACGAUAUUAAUCGAUGGCGAAGAUGCAUUCAAUAUUCUCAGAGCAUCUCCAACAGCCGCGCUUCACGUCGCGUCAAAGAAAUAUUUUUACAGCGCGCGCCGUCUGGUUUAGCGCAGGGAUAGGCGCUGACUCCAACAGCCACGUUAUAAUGCAGCGCGUGCAUGCCGCUCCAGCAGUGCCAAAAAAUGCAGCGCGUGCAGCAGGCACAAACCACAUAUACAUUUCAAAAAAUAGGAAAAAACGAUCAAACAAACAAAAUAAAUCAACAAUAAAUAGUUAUUACAACUCAAACAAAUAGUUUAUCGUUCAGUACAACCAAUAAUGCAAUAAACACAACCAAUAGUUCAUGAAAAAUACAAUACAAAUAAUACAAUCAAAUCAUGCUCUUUGUCGUCCAUGCCAUGCCCACCACUCUUCAAUCAGAUCCUUCUGAAGAUCAUUGUGUGUUGCGGGACGCCGAAUGUCAUGAUACGAGGCAACAAAACGGGCUAUCCUUUCAGCCCUCCGUCGCACUCGCACGAGAUGUCCCAAGAGCUCAUACUGUGAGUAGUCUACAUCUUGGCCACGCUCAUUCUCGAUGAUCAUGUUGUGCAUGAUCACACAAGCGUGCAUGAUGUACCAAAGCAUUUUUUGAUCCCAAAAUCUAGCCGGUCCUCUCACAAUAGCAAAUUGGGCUUGCAAAAUCCCAAAUGCUCUCUCCACAUCUUUUCUAGCAGCCGCCUGAGCAUUGUGAAAAUCAAGAUUUUUCUUACCUUCUCGCUUUUUCAACGGCUUCACGAAGGUUUGCUACUUUGGAUAGAUGCCAUCCGCUAGAUAAUAGUCAUAGUUGUACGUACGGCCAUUUGCUACAAACUGCACCGGUGGCAACUCAUCAUUCGCAAUCUUAUUCAUCAGUGGUGACCGGUUGACAACAUUGAUGUCAUUCAAAGAUCCAGGCAUUCCAAAGAAUGCAUGCCAAAUCCAAGUCUCAUGAUCGGCAAUCGCUUCAAGCAUUACAGUGGAACCCUUUUUUUGGCCGUGGAAUUGCCCAUGACAUGCCUUUGGACAAUUCUUCCAACUCCAAUGCAUGCAAUCUAUUGAGCCAAGCAUGCCAGGAAAGCUGCGAGAUUUGUUCAUCGCCAAUAGCCUUGGGGCGUCUUCAGCAGUGGGAGAUCUCAAAUACUCCUCGCCAAACACUUGCACAAUUCCCACUUCAAAGCGCUUGACACACAUGAUGGCUUGGCUCUCACCCAUAGCCAAGUGAUCAUCAACUAAAUCAGCCGGGAUACCGUAUGCCAACAUACGCAAAGCGGCAGUCACCUUCAGAAAGGUGCUAUGCCCGAGCUCUCCGGCGGCAUUCCUCCUUUGCUGGAAAAAUCGGUCAUGACUCGCUAGUUUCUCUGCAAUGCGCUUGAACAAGUUUGUGCUCAUCCUAAACCGACGACGAAAAUACGACUCCGGGUAUGUGGGAUUCUCCACGAAAUAGUUCUUCAUCAAUUUGUUAUGGGCAUCAAUCUUAUCUCUCCAAAAAAUUUCCCGACCCAUAACCGAACCACCGUGCUUCGGUUUUUUAUUGAUAUGCAUAGCUAUGAUCAUUGCAAGAUCCUCCUUCUCUUCCAUAUCAAAUUCUUCUUCGGAAGAAUCAUACGACGAACUCAUCUACAAUGUUCAAUACUAUACUAUAAAAACUACAAUUCAAAACAUGCACCAAAUUCAUAAGUUUGAAGCAAUACAUACCUUGUAGGCGUUUUGUCGAACACCUUGCGGGCGCGGCGCGGCAGCGAGCGCUCGGGCGCCGUUCCUCGGACGUCAGAGGCGCGCGAGGGCCGUCCGGACUAGGAGGGGGUGGGGCGGAAGCGCGGCGACGCGGGGAGGCCGGGGAAGCGCCUGAACGGUCGCCGGGGGUGCGGGCGGCGGCCGCAGCGGAGACAGGCCGGGGAAGCGCUUCAGUGGUCGCCGGCGGGCGUGGGCGGCGACGGCGGCUCGGGGAUAGGCCGGGGAAGCGCCGAACGGUGGCGCGAGCGGCGGCGGCGGCGCGGUCGGAUGGGGGCGGUCGCGAGAGUGCAGAGCGAGCGCAGGAGAGUGUAGAGCCAGCGCAGGAGAGAGCAGGAGAGAACGCAGGAGAAAGCAGGAGCGAGCGCGGGAGAGUCGCGCGCGCGGGAGCCGGCGCAGCAAAUAAUGGGCGCGGGAUUGCGUUUCGGCCAGCGCGCUGAAUUGGAAAUGGCGCGCGCACCGUUUUUGCGCGCGCGCGCUAAAAACUGCCUUUUUUACGGCGCGGCGCUUGUAUAGCGCGCCUGUUGGAGAUGCUGUGAUACCUUAAAUUGAAAAUCUUAAAUUCAUUCAUAAUAUUACAUGUAACAUAAACCUAAUAGUUCCUUCGUCCCAAAAUUCUUGUCUUAGAUUUGUUUAGAUACGAAUGUAUCUAGUCAAGUUUUAGUAUUUAGAUAAAUUCAUUUUUAGACAAAACUAAGACAAGAAUUUUAGGACGGAGGGAGUACUAAAUGAAGCUCACCCGACGGAUCCAUGUAUGACAGUUUGAUACGUCCCUUACAGUGUCGGUCCGGCCAACGGUGAGGUAGAAUAGAACAUGGAACAUUAGCCGACUCCCGUCGUUUCCCAUGCCCUACUCUUCCUCGCCAGAGCCGAUAACCCGAACGGUGACAGUCGACGUGAGGUCGAUGAUGGAUCCUUCCUGUAAGGAGCCGACGUCCACUACGACGCGUUUGCGUCGCCCGCAUUGGUACCUUAUGAGGCGCCGAAGAGUGUGACUCCGCCUCUCCAACAUCCACUGUCGUGAGGGCCUCCGUUGCAUUCCGUGCCCGCUACCUCGCCAAGCGGGCACGCCACGCCAUGACAUCGUCUGAGGACGGGUAUGCUACGUGCUCAGCGUGCCAAUAGAGGGGUUGCGCUUCCGCCAUGGUGUUCAGACUGUUGGAAUUAUGCCCUAGAGGCAAUAAUAAAUGUAUAGUUAUUAUUAUAAUUCCUGUAUCAAGAUAAUAGUUUAUUAUCCAUGCUAUAAUUGUAUUGAAUGAAGACUCAUUUACAUGUGUGGAUACAUAGACAAAACACCGUCCCUAGCAUGCCUCUAGUUGGCUAGCCAGUUGAUCGAUGAUAGUCAGUGUCUUCUGAUUAUGAACAAGGUGUUGUUGCUUGAUAACUGGAUCACGUCAUUGGGAGAAUCACGUGAUGGACUAGACCCAAACUAAUAGACGUAGCAUGUUGAUCGUGUCAUUUUGUUGCUACUGUUUUCUGCGUGUCAAGUAUUUAUUCCUAUGACCAUGAGAUCAUAUAACUCACUGACACCGGAGGAAUGCCUUGUGUGUAUCAAACGUCGCAAACGUAACUGGGUGACUAUAAAGAUGCUCUACAGGUAUCUCCGAAGGUGUUAGUUGAGUUAGUAUGGAUCAAGACUGGGAUUUGUCACUCCGUAUGACGGAGAGGUAUCUCGGGGCCCACUCGGUAAUACAACAUCACACACAAGCCUUGCAAGCAAUGUAACUUAGUGUAAGUUGCGGGAUCUUGUAUUACGGAACGAGUAAAGAGACUUGCCGGUAAACGAGAUUAAAAUAGGUAUGCGGAUACCGACGAUCGAAUCUCGGGCAAGUAACAUACCGAAGGACAAAGGGAAUGACAUACGGGAUUAUACGAAUCCUUGGCACUGAGGUUCAAACGAUAAGAUCUUCGUAGAAUAUGUAGGAUCCAAUAUGGGCAUCCAGGUCCCGUUAUUGGAUAUUGACCGAGGAGUCUCUCGGGUCAUGUCUACAUAGUUCUCGAACCCGCAGGGUCUGCACACUUAAGGUUCGACGUUGUUUUAUGCGUAUUUGAGUUAUAUGGUUGGUUACCGAAUGUUGUUCGGAGUCCCGGAUGAGAUCACGGACGUCACGAGGGUUUCCGGAAUGGUCCGGAAACGAAGAUUGAUAUAUAGGAUGACCUCAUUUGAUUACCGGAAGGUUUUCGGAGUUACCGGGAAUGUACCGGGAAUGACGAAUGGGUUCCGGGAGUUCACCGGGGGGGCAACCCACCCCGGGGAACCCAUAGGCUUUUGGGGAGCCACACCAGCCCUUAGUGGGCUGGUGGGACAGCCCACAAGUCCCCUAUGCGCCAAGGAUAAAAAUCAAAGGAGAAAAAAAAAGGGGGGAAGUGGGAAAGGGGAAGGACUCCCUCCCACCAAACCUAGUCCAACUCGGUUUGGGGGGGGGAGAGUCCUCCCCCCUGGCUCGGCCGACCCCUUGGGGAUCCCUUGGACCCCAAGGCAAGGUCCCCCUCCCUCCUCCUAUAUAUAUGGGGCUUUUAGGGCAGAUUUGAGACGACUUUCUCACGGCUGCCCGACCACAUACCUCCAUAGUUUUUCCUCUAGAUCGCGUUUCUGCGGAGCUCGGGCGGAGCCCUGCUGAGACGAGAUCAUCACCAACCUCCGGAGCGCCGUCACGCUGCCGGAGAACUCUUCUACCUCUCCGUCUCUCUUGCUGGAUCAAGAAGGCCGAGAUCAUCGUCGAGCUGUACGUGUGCUGAACGCGGAGGUGCCGUCCGUUCGGUACUAGAUCGUGGGACUGAUCGCGGGAUUGUUCGCGGGGCGGAUCGAGGGACGUGAGGACGUUCCACUACAUCAACCGCGUUCUCUAACGCUUCUGCUGUACGAUCUACAAGGGUACGUAGAUCACUCAUCCCCUCUCGUAGAUGGACAUCACCAUGAUAGGUCUUCGUGCGCGUAGGAAAAUUUUUGUUUCCCAUGCGGCGUUCCCCAACACAGACGCCAGACGAAACGCACUGUCUUCGGUGAGGCAGCGACGCCGGAUUCAAGCAUCGGUUCUGCGGACGCAAUGGAUUCCCGGCGUUGCAAGUCCGAGCGCUGUUGUCAUGCGGCCGCCUCCCGGGAGCAACGGAGCGCAAGACGGACGGCCAUCUCCUCCUCUGUGUCGCGUGUGACGAGCUCCUGGUCGACGGGCCUGGAGCUGAAGGACUCAGAUCCGCUGCCCGCUAUGCUGGCGGUGAGCUUGGGUGGCGGAUGGGAGUUGAGGAGAGUGGAGUGUAGUGGCUUGGGUUUGGUCCGACGAGCGAAUGGGGACGAACAUAUGUGGGGUAGAUGCGGGCCAACGCGGGGCACUGCGGGGCAGGCGACGUUCCCGGGCGCGUCCGGGAUACCCCAUAUCCAUUUCAUAUUUGGGCUGGAAAUGAGUGGUGCCGGUCAGCCCGGGCAUUUAUGACCGAUUUGAGGGGCCCGUCUGUGUCGCUUUUUCAUGAGUGGGCGGUCUGCCCGGACAUUUGAGAAGGGUUUGAGGGAUCCAGUUGUAGAUGCUCUAACAGCCACAACCUGCAAAUACGAAUCCUUAAACACCUGCGGACGCGCCCGGUCACGUCUGUGGGCACUGGCCGGACAACCCUUAAAUUUGGUACUCGGCAUCUCCAUAUCUUAUAUCGGACAUUUUAUAUCCAUACUACACACAUGCCAUAGAGGUGUUAUACGUGAUCAAGCACCGUCUUCGUCAUUGGAGUCGGAAAGGACGAUGAGCCCCUUCAUCCGAUGGACCGCCUCGUCCUCUUCCCGCUUUGGCUUGAUGAUCCAAGCCGCCUCCGCCGCUACGUCCUUCGCAACACGCUCUGACUGCUUGAUAGCAAGCAGGAGCGUCUUGGCGUUCUUUCGUCGAAGGCAUCGAGCCUCCGUUUUCGCCGUCGUGAGGGACCGGCGUGCGGUACACCUAGACGAGGAGGCGUUCGUCCUUGUUGGGCUCCGCCGGCAUCCCGCGACGGGAGUGUGCAGACUGCUCCGCCGCUUCCCUCUCCCUUGCCCCCUGCCUUUCACGGUGGACAGCGCACGCCUCCGAUUCCGGAGUGCGCGUGCAGACCAACGACACAGGCACUAGCACCCGUCGAUGCCCGUGUGGAGGAGCGGUCCUUGAGGGAACAAUGGUGGGCCGGGCCUGUUAGGUAGGACGUGACGGACACGUCCAAGCAUGCCCAGGCUGCUCCAUAUCCGUUCUAGAUUUGAACUGAAUAUGGAGGGUGUCGAUAAAUCCGUAUGUCUAUGAAAAAUUUGAAAGGUUUAGAUAGGUCAUGUUUUUUUAACCGGUCAUAAAUCAGCAAGUUUGUCCGAACGUUUGAGACGGGUAGGAGUCUUCUCCUGUAAAAUGCUCUAAUUGGACCGACAAUCCGCUGGCCCGCUGCAUCCAUAUUCACGUCUCACGUGUUGCAGGCGGUCCUUAAACUGAGCAGCAUGUGCGACUAGGCACCUGUGGUUCAGCGGCACCUCUUCUCUCCGUCUCCUAUGACUACCCUAGCUGUGAUCAAGUUGCUGUAUUUAUAUCGUGUGGAGUAAAGCAGAUUAAGAUAAAGCAAUAAUUGAGUACAGUCCACCUAGCAGAUGAAGAGCACGCUAGCGGACAGCACGCCUACCUCAUGGGCGGGACCCGCGCCAGCCUCUCACGGUCCGUGAGCAAUCUCCAUUCUCCUCAUCACAUAUCCACAGCUCAGCUCACCGUGGAGCUUCCAGAGACACCACAAACAUUCAUAAAAAAAGGCACUCUCCGGUGGAGGACUGCAUAUAUACACCAUACACAUACACACUCUCGGGCUCAACAAUCAGCAAGAGCAGCCUCAUCUUUGGUUGGCCGUAACUGGUACGUAGGAUCUGAAAGCUUGAGCUCGAUCUACCACCGCCGCUUCUGCUCUUCCUCGAGCAAUUUUUUUCAUUCCGUUUUACUAGCGAUUUGCUUGGCUGUUCAACGAUUCUUUUCUGACAAAAGAAGAUGCAAGAGCAUUUUUAGUUUUUUACCCCUUGCACAUGCACUGCUGACUUCCCCCAUUGUUCUUCUGACAAAGGAACAUGCCGCUUUAAGCAUAUUUUCCCUUCCUUCUCCCACUCCCAGAUCUGUCUCCGGAGCAGAUUCUAGAGCUUCCUGGUCCAUCUUGCAUGUUUUUUUUCCUUUGCUAAUGCCUUGCAAGUGCUUAUUUAUACAUGAUGGUUGUGGUUUCCCGGGCAGAGGCAGACCUAUGAAUCUUCUUGCAUGUUGACUUGCUGAACUGUUCCAUCCAGAGCUCUUCUCUAGUUAACAUCUUCAUUUUUCAGUGGUAACCGAGGCUGGGUCUGAUGUGUAGACAGAUUCAGUUUUUUAAGGAAAGCCGUCAUCUUUCUUACCUGUACUGACUGUUGUUCACAAUUUCCUGAAGCCGCCGUCACAAAGAUCAGAUGUAUCUGGUGAAGGACAUCGGCGGAGCCAUCGGGCUGAUGGCGGCGGCCUUGGUGCUCCUCGGCACCUGGCCGGUCGUCCUCGCCGUGCUGGAGCGCCGGGGACGGCUGCCGCAGCACACGUACCUCGACUACUCCAUCACCAACUUCCUGGCCGCCGUGCUGAUCGCCCUCACAUUCGGCCAGAUCGGCGGCGACACGCCGGAGACGCCCAAUUUCCUCACUCAGCUCACCCAGCCGCAGGUAGCUCAAUUAUCACUGUCGUCAUUCCUUCCUCGCAUCGCAUAGAAAGAAAGGGUCAACAUGUAUAUGCAAGACUGAAAUUCAGACAGCACCUGAAGUUGGCCUGGCUUUCAGCCUUUCUGAACUGAAGUUUAACUGACAUAAGUGAAGCCACAAGUUCAGUUGGUACAUCAGGCUUUGCUCAGUGUAUAUGAUGGUGCAAUUGUCCUAACUAUAUCUGUAUUGAACGAACAAUCCAGGACUACUGGCCGUCCAUCAUGUUUGCGCUGGCGGGCGGCGUGGUGAUCACCCUCGGCACCGUGGCCACGCAGUACGGCUGGGCAUACGUCGGGCUUUCGGUCACCGAGGUCAUGGCCUCAAGUCUCAAGGUUGUCAUAGGUAGGAAGUACAUGGAUGUUUCAAGCUGCAGCUGUUCCAGCAUCAUUAUCUGAAGAUAAGUGAAUGACUGAAAUUACUGUUGUAGGGACGACACUGAACUAUUUUCUGGACGGCCGGAUCAACAGGGCGGAGGUUCUCUUCCCCGGCGUCGGAUGUUUUCUGAUUGCAGCGUGCCUAGGCUCACUUGUCCACUCCUCUAAUGCUGCUGACAACCAGGAGAAGCUAUCAAACUCCAGAAACUACUCUACUGGGUACAGUCUCAUCUCUGCUUCUGCUUCUUCCUUUCCAUUUGGUGAAAGUAAGGAACGGGCUUCUUUCCUUUUCACCAAAAUUUUAGUUGUGGAUCUGUGAAUAUUUUAAGCACUGCAUCUGAAGAUCACUUUGCUGAAUUCUUGACAGGAACACUGCAAAGGAAGAUCUCACCCAGCGCCUCCUUGAAGAAGGUACUUUCCCUUCAAAGAAACAACUUGUGUCAUUAUAAUCAGAAAAUGAUCAUCUUUCAAUCACCGUCAAAAAAGUAAUAAUCAUUCAAUUGACAACAGAGGAACCAAAGGAUUGUGAAGAAGCAAAGCCCGCACUACCAAAGGCGGUGGAGAAAGUCGAGGCAGGAACAGCAGAUUUCCUUAUUGAUCUCGAGGACAAAAGAUCAAUCAAGGUAGGUACCUGAAGAAUAGUAGUACUUUAUCAUGAUUGAACUGCAGAGCUUCCCUGCAAAAAAACGAAGAAACAAUGAAAAUCCAUAUAUUUCUCGGAGUAGAACUGAACAUCAUUUACCUGCAGACAUUUUCUGAACAACCAAAGAACACACAGUAUGUGUUUUCUUUUGCUGACGAUCGAGGAGAUGAACAUCUCACAGGUCCUCGGGUCCAACACGCUGGUGGGGCUGGCGAUCGUGACGUUCGCGGGGGUGUGCUACUCGCUGUUCGCGCCGGCGUUCAACCUGGCGACCAACGACCAGUGGCACACGCUGCGCGACGGCGUGCCGCACCUGGUGGUCUACACCGCCUACUUCUACUUCUGCCUCUCCUCGCUGGUCGUCGGCGUGGCGCUCAACGUGUGGUGCCUCUACCGCCCCGUGGCCGGCGUGCCGCGGUCGACGCUGCGGGCGUACCUCGCCGACGGGGAGGGGAGGGGGCUGGCGCUGCUGGCGGGGAUGGUGUCCGGGCUGGGCAACGCGUUCACGUUCAUGGCCGGGCAGGCGGCCGGGUACGCGGCGGCGGACUCCGUGCAGGCGCUGCCGCUGGUGAGCACGUUCUGGGGCGUGGUGCUGUUCGGGGAGUACCGGAGGUCGUCGAGGAGGACGUACACGCUGCUGGGGAGCAUGCUCUUCAUGUUCGUCGUCGCCAUGUCCGUGCUCAUGGCCUCCUCCGCGCACAGGAAGCCGCUCUGACGCAACCAACGCUGCUCAUGCAUGGCAUGGCGAUCGGGAGCUUGGGUAGCGACGGCAGAGAGGCUAGCAAGUUCUUCGAUGAGGACGGAUGUUGUGUAAACUUGGACGAGUGCGAUGCAUGCCACAUCUUACCGAUGGUUAGAAAAUUCAGGCACCGUAAUUAUAAGCAAAUGGUGUGGCUAUAUCUUAGUCGACUCAAUACUUAAUCAAGUCUCAAUUAAAUGACAUAACAUUAGAGAAACAAGAAAAAAAAAUACACGGAUCUCGCUGUAAGACCUCACAAAUAGUUUAGCUGAGACAUUACAAAGUCACUGUUAAGGAAAGUACAGACAACUCAUAACCCUUAGAUUUCUCUUAACUUCACAUAACGCAAUCUAUUAGAGCAUGUCCAAUAGAUGUUAUAUAUAUAAAAAUAACUAACUUAUAAAACACUUAGGCUCAAAAACAGUGCCGCGAUCUAUUAGAGCAUCUUCAAUAGAUGUUGUAUAUAUAAAAAUAACUAACUUAUAAAACACUUAGGCUCAAAAACAGUGCUUCAAGAGGUGUUGUAUCUCCCCUGCGCGCUUUUGUCGUCCGUCAUCGGUCAUUUUACAGAAAAGCCCUUAUAGUUUCAGUUAAUUAACCCGCGGUUCAACUUUAAGUCAGAACAAACCGUUUUCUGUCCUUUUGCAGAAAAGUCCUCACAGUUUUAGAUAAUCAACCCGCGGUCCAUCUUUUAGUCGGUGCCGAACCGUAUUUUGCAUUUUAUAGAAAAACUCCUUGAUGUUUCAGGUAAUCAACCCGCCGUUCCUAUUUAAGUCAGCCGAAACGUUUUUUUGUUUUAACAAAAAAAACCCCGACUUUUCUUUUAACCAAUCCAGAUUUUAUCUAAAACAAAAUUAUCCAUAUCUUUUAAACCGUAACUCCGAUUUUAACAUAUUAUAUAUGAAAUUUGAUUGAAAAAAUGUGUAAAAUUUAAACAGGAUGUUAUUUUUAGCUGUUGAAUACUUCUUCAAUAUUAUUUUUGGUGCAAACUUAAUCUGUAAUGCACUGUCUUUUUCUCUCUCUUUCAGACGACCAUACGAAUUGCAAUAAAUAUCCAUUAAAUUAAAACCAAAUCGAGAGGAAAGGAAACAUCGUUAACAUACAUGCACACCUUUGAAAAAUCUCGUGGGGAGAAACAACAUAUUUCUCAUCUUAUUCCGAGUGAUUGUACAUUCAAACGCGUUUUCGUUGUGUGAGCACUGAGUUCAUCGUCGACAACACAAAUGUGCUAAUAUAUUACGUUCAAAGCGUGUGUUAUUUUCUCUUCCGUUGCAACGCAUGGGCUUUUUUGCUAUAUGUAAAUUUUUUUACAACAAACGUUGUAAGAAUUUGACCUUGGUAUUGCAAAUACACAACACAAGGGCUAGGUGUUGUAAAACGGCCAGCCGCGCGUCAACCUCCAACCGCUCUUCCGAUUCCUUUCCCGCGCCCGCCAGCCGCUGCCCGAACUUGCCGCCGGCCAGAUCCGCCGCCUCCCGACCACACCGACCACCGCCGAGCCCGCCGCGACUUCGCCGACCUGUUCCCGGCCGCCUUGCGCGCUCGCGAGCUGCCCGAUUUGGUCUCGGCCGCCGACCAAAUUCACGGUGGCCAGAGCUUCUCCAACGACCGUGGCUGGCCGAGGCGAUGGGGUAGGUUUUUGCCGCGGUCGUGUAGUCGUCGCCGCCCAACGGCCCGCGGCGCAGGUGCUGCCGCCGCCUGCCACCCGACGGCUCCCUCUCCUCGGUGAAGUGGCCGUCGUCGGCCUGCUAACCGCUCCGUCGCCGGCUGACUGCUACCGUCCACUGACCGCUCCGCCGCCCGGCUGCUGAUCUCACCGUCGACCGAUUUCUUCCACCUCGCAAACAAGGUGUUCGACAAAAUUCUCGAAGGUAAAAAUAGAUGAUCUUGAGCUUUUUUGUUGGAUGUAAAGUAGUUUACCGUUGAUUUCCCGCAUUGUAGAUGAGCUCGUGUGGCUCCUCUUACGUGGACAAUUACUCAUCCUCAUCGGAUGAUUAAUUUGUUUUGAACGAAGAAGAAGACAUUGCAAUGCUAGUUGAACGGAGCGAAUAAAAUGCUUCAUGAAGGUGUACAAUGAGAUUAGAGACUCUGAUUCACACGAUCAACUUCAGAGGAAUUUGAUGGAGGAGUAUUGAAAAUUCCAUGGCGAUAGAGCCGCCUAGUUUCAUUUAGUUGUUUCUGUAUUGUGCAAAACUAUGUUGUAUGUGUGAUCCAUUUGAUGUUGUGGAUUUGAUGAACUAUGUAAUAAUUUGAUAUUGUGGACAUGUAUAUUUUUUAUUUCAUUUUUGAUUGUUUUAAUAUGCAAAUGUGGCCGGCAGCCAACCAACAGUGGUUGUGUAGCCGAACAGCAGCAGCUUGGCAGCCGGCCGAUUUUUACAACACCGUUUACAACAUCUAUUGGAGUUGGCGACUAAUAACGCGAAUAUACAACAUCUGUUGGAGUUGGCUGUUUUUUGAUGUUGUAAAACACAUUUUUUGGUAUUGUAAAUUAUAAAACACCUAAUUUACAACACCUAUUGAAGAUGCUCUUAGGAAGGUAACACCCAACAAACAGAUCUCUCAAAUCUAUAAGAACUUCUCAAAAAAAAUUAAGGCUUCAAUAUACAUCCCACGUCAAAUUUUUAGCGUCAAAAGCGUCCUUGCCAGAUCUUGAUCCAACACACAUGUCAAUUACCCUCAUGUAACGUGGCAAUUUUUUUUGUCAAUUUUUUAUUUUACUCCAUCUGUUUCAUAAUUUGUGUCGUGUUUUUAGUUCAACCAUGGCUCAAUUAAAACCAUGAUCCACGCCAAAAAUUAUUAAACGGAUGGAGUAUGUGGUAAUUUUCACCUUAGAACAUUGUAAAUCUUUAUACAACGCCAUGACGAAUUUAUUCCUUUUUGCAUGACAAUUCUAGAGCAUUCAUUGGGAUUCACCAAAUGUCUGCUGUCAGAUUUUUAACAUUACCUAAAGUUUGAGAAGUUAAGCCUAAAAAAACUACAUUUUCGCUCAAAUUUAAGUAGGUCACACCCAUUCUCCCUAAAACUUGUCGCUCCUCCACUCGCUCAAAUAAUUGUGUGUCGGCCGACGCUAGUCCCGUUGACCCCAUGAUGGAAUAAAAGCUCGUCAGCUAACCCCGUCGGAGGACCAUAGGUUCUUAGAUGCACUUUGUGGGCGGGGUGCGUCUGUUCUUAGACACACUUUGACCACUAGACAUCUCAAGAGUAAGCAGUGCAUACACUCGAAGAUGAAAGCGUGGAUUUUCUACAUUUGAUUUGCAUGAAUGUCUAAUAAGAGAAAUUUUGACGCAUAAGGUUUUGCAUUCCAAAUGCAAAAGAAUCUCGUGGGUCACCAAGAUUUCCGGUUUCCAAAAAAUACCUGGUAGUUACCAGACAAUUUUUCUUAAUGAAUUUUACAUUCGAAUAAAUUAUUUUGUAAAAUAACAUUCAUAUCCAAAAAUUCGGGAUUUUCUAUUUAAUAAUGCAAUUCCUUGUGAGCUACCAAGAUUCGUGGUUAUCAAGCCUUAACAAAAUUUACCGCUGGAUAACCAAAACUUGGGUGAUACAUAAGUUUAUCAUGGACUCGUCCUUUAUUUCUUGUUGUAAGACUUCAAACAACGCAAUAAACUAGACCAUGUACACCAGGAUCAAACUCAAAGUGUUCUAAUUAUUUUAGCAUAAAAUAAAUUUAAGCACCAAACUUAAGUUUGUCUGGAGAUAUUCAAAAUUGCAUUUGAAAUUUCUUAAAAUUUGUGAACCUUGAUCAGGUAUUAAUAAAUUUCUAAACGGGAACUCGGGUACUUGGAUAACUGUCAAAGUCCGAAUACUUUAGUAUAAAAAUAUCCGUGUAUUCUAAAUGCGUGCAAUUUUUUAUGAAGAAUUAGUUUGGAAGGGCUCAUCGCAAGAAAUCAAUGAUAAAUACAUACCAUAAUUCCGACUCAGUUCCGAAGUUGCUGCCUUUCGGAACCUAAAAAACACACAAGAAAAUUCUGAACUUUGUCUCUUAUUUUUUUGGGGGGGGGGGGGGGGGACGAACUUUGUUUCUUUCUGUAUUGAGGACUAGUAAAAUGCCCGUGCUACGCUACGGAACCACAUGAAAGUAGAGCCAAAAGUAGUUUCUCCUUGUUCAGUUAUUCAAAACAUCCAAUCAAGAUCUUCUUAAGUUACAUAAGAAAUAACGGUUUAUUUGUUUCCUUAUCAUAUGUAUUAAUGGACAUUGUUGUACUUUGAAAGGUAAGCCAGAGCAUUAACAAUAUGUUUGCUUUUGCAUCAUCAUUUUAUCAAUACCCUAUGUUCUGAACUUUAGUACAUUCAAUAGGUUAGGAGAAUCAGCAUUUGAGAUCUCUUCACAUUUUACUGCAUCCCCAUUUAAAAUGGUAUGCCACAUUAACAACAUUCCUUGAAAAACACGCUUAUAGAUUUGAGAGGACUGAAAAUCAACAUAAGCCAUGCUUACAUACUAUCAAAUUGAUGUUUGGAUGUAGGUUAAAUAAUUCAAGGAUGGAUAGCAUGAGAUAAUAACUGAAGUUCUAUAAACGUAUGAAGAUUUGGUGUAUGUGCUUGAUGUCGCCACCCCAUGCCCACUCACCACCAUGUCCCUCAUCCACCCAAUAGCCUUGUCAACCUUAUUCACCGCACUAUAAUACCUCACAAUCGAGUUGUAUGUCACCCUGUUUGGCAUGCACCCCUUCUUCACCAUUUCGUCAAACACCUCGUGCGCACGCUCCACGUGGUACGUCUUGCACAGACCAUUGAUAUAGCAGUUGUAGGUCACAACGUCAGGCUCCAGCCCCUUCUCCCCCAUCCUCCGGAACAGCCUGCCGGCCUCGUAGAUCCUUCUCCUGGCGGCCUUCCGGCACCCGGUCCCCGCCCCGAUCCGGCAGUACCAGGAAAUGAGCACUGUGUAGGUGUAGGAGUCAGGCUUGCAGCGCGCGCCGGGGCGCUCCAUCUGGUCGAGCAGGAACCUGGCAUCCUUGAACCGGCCGUUCCGGCACAGCGCGGCGAGCAACGUGUUGUAGGACUGCGCGUCCGGGGAGCACCCACAAUGUCAAGGGCAGUGUCUUCUGCUGACUGCAGAAGCAUUAUGAAUCCCUUCAUGAUAUCACCUGUGGAAAAUAGUUCCAAGCUGAGCGAAGAAAGAAGUACAGAAGCCAUCUCCUUCUCCCUGUUCUUCCUGUCCAUAGCAAGAGUGAUGAGCUUCUUGAGGAACAUGGCGUUGUAUUCAGGGGCAGAAAGCUCUUGAAGGCUUCUAAUAAGUUCUGGGACGUCAUCGGAGAGGAAAUACUCCUGAAUUAUGUGAUCAGAUUCUUCUUUGAAACGCUUGACCUUUUCACUGCUUGCAUUCCACAUAUCUUCAUCAGGUGCAGCAGAUUUACAGAAUGAAGCAUCAAGCCACCCUUCAGAUAUGGCUGCUGAAAGCAGCUUGUCAAAAAGCGUUUUGGCUGAAGGAACAUCAAGGCUCAGGUCAUCAACACUCUCAGCAGCCCUAGAAAAACCCUUCGACACUUGAUUAGAACUGAUCAAACAACCCGUCGUUGAUUCCUUCAACAACUUCAGGAUUAAUGGUUGCGACGAUAGAUUCUCCAUACCAAGGAUGAGAGCACGUUUCACAACCUCGUGAUGGAAGAAUGGAAGGCCCAGCUCCCUUAUGCACCUAAAGGCUUCAUCUGUAUCACCACUCUCAAUGUACUCUCUCAGAAUAUCCUGGAUCCUCUUUUUCACCUCUUCUACAGUAAAGUGUGUGCUCCCGCCCCACAUGCGUUCAACUAACUCCGCAUGGUGAGGAGCUGACAAGUAACUCUUCUCAGCAACCUGCAGAACUUCAAUACCUUUUGAAGAUUCUGGAAGCAAUGCUCUGGCCCGAGUGAGAAAAACGGGAGGCAAUAUUUCAUCAACAAUGGCACGUGCCACAAAAACAGCCAAGACAUCAACAGCGUCUGGUAUAUCCACAGAUAGAUCUUCUGUUGACUCUAGAAGCAUCAUAAAACCUUCACUCAUCUUGGAGGAGUCCAAUAGAUCAGCAUACAAGGCAGACAUCAGAAUUGAUGACAUUUCUUUUUCUUUAUCAUGGCGGUCCAUUGCCAUGGAUAUGAGCUUUUUCACAAAGUAAUUGUGAAACUGAUCGGAUCCAAGACUCCUUAGCUCAGAAACUGCCAGUUCCACAUCUCCUGUACUAUAAUACUCCUCAAUUACUGGAACUACAAGCUUUCUAUAGUCAUCUAAUGUAGCAGGAACCUGCAUUUUGCACAGAAGCAUCGCUAGAUUGUUGGUAAUACUAUUGAGUGUAGAUAGGUCAAACCUUUUUAGUCCCAUUAACUAUUUUGCCCAACUCUUGGGAUGGUAAUGGAUUUGCAUCUCCAUGGUUUUCUUGUUCAAUUUUCCCACCAUCUUCUGAAAGCAGCAUAACCAGGGUUACAACAACAUGCAUAGGAACUAUGAAGAAUAAGAUAGUAUUUCGAAGAAAUAAACCAAUUCUAAAUCUACGCAUGAGUAACAGUACAAAAGAACUACAUAUUGUCCUCCCGUUCCAAUUAAUUCCCGAGUGAUUGUGAAUCAUUCUGUAACAAACCAAGAGAGAAAAACUUCAAAUAACUUGGGAACUCACUUUCAUCAUAGUGACAAUUGCAUUAAUAAAGUUUAUGAACAGUGCAAGCAAGCAAACUCUACAUCUUUAGAUGCCCGCAGUUAAUAUCACAAAAGUGGACACAUAAUGAUACCUCACAAACGAGUUGUAUGUCACCCUGUUUGGCAUGCACCCCUUCUUCACCAUUUCGUCAAACACCUCGUGCGCACGCUCCACGCGUUACGUCUUGCACAGACCAUUGAUAUAGCAGUUGUAGGCCACAACGUCAGGCUCCAGCCCCUUCUCCCCCAUCCUCCGGAACAGCCUGCCGGCCUCGUAGAUCCUUCUCCUGGCGGCCUUCCGGCACCCGGUCCCCGCCCCGAUCCGGCAGUACCAGGAAAUGAGCACUGUGUAGGUGUAGGAGUCAGGCUUGCAGCGCGCGCCGGGGCGCUCCAUCUGGUCGAGCAGGAACCUGGCAUCCUUGAACCGGCCGUUCCGGCACAGCACGGCGAGCAACGUGUUGUAGCACUGCGCGUCUGGGGAGCACCGGAGCUGGCGCGCGCGGUGGAAGGCGGCGAGGGCCUGGCGCGGGAGGCCCUCCUCGCCGAGCGGGCGGAUGACGUCGGUGAGCGCGGCGGUGGAGACGAGCGGGGCGUGCUCGCGGAGGAGGCUGAAGAGCGCGGGGAGCGCGCGGGCGCGGGCGAGGGAGAGCGCGGCGACGCGGAGCGGGGCCUCUGUGAGCGGGACUGUGCGCGGGCUGGCGUCGGAGUGGGACCAGUUGAGGAAGGCGAGGGUGAGCGCGGCGGCGACUCGACGGUGGUAGGAGAAGGACGGGGAGGGGAAGGGCCGCUGUGGGCAGAGGCGGCCCGCGGAGCGCGGGAGGAUGAGGCGCGGGAUGGCGGCGAGCGAGGAGGCGAUGGAGGCCGGGGAGAAGCCGCGGAAGGUGGGGGACGGGCGGAGCGCGGAGUCGAAGCGGCGGCGCUGGAGGAGGGCGGACCGCGGGUUAGUUCGGAUUAAAUACAGGGUUUUUUUUCAUAAAAAGUAAAAAAAGGUUCGACCCGACUUACAGAAGGACUAUGGGUUAAUUACCUGAAACGACAAGGGCUUUUCUGCAAAAACGCCGUGACGGACGACAGAAGCGCUCUGCGCUUUAUUAUUACUAGUAAAAACUAGCAAAAGGACCCGUGCGUUGCAACGGGAGAAAAAAAUACCACACGCUUUUAAUCUUUUUAUAAUAAUGUUGAUUUAUUAAAAUAAUAAGCUAACUAACUAAUGUAGUCAGUCCUAUCCUAUUUUGUUGAAAAAUCAACCCGUCCAUUGUUAAUUCCACCAUGAUGAGAAAUUGAGCGGGACAAACAAAGCAAAACAAAGAGGCUACCUGAAUUGAUCAAUGGACUGUUAUCUUAUUCCACUCAUGGGGUAGAGAAUGUGGGAUCAGAUGACAAACUGAAGGUGGUGUUCCAUUCUCUCUCUAUAUAACAAUGCAAUCUUACAUUCAAUACAUUCAUUCAUCAGCAAAACAAAUUCCCACAAAACAAAAUUUCUUGCCGGUGCUUGGCACACGGUUGGAGGCAUGUGGAGGGGAUCUCACCAGAUGAUGAGUUCCUACCGGAGGAGGGGAUACGAUGAGGGGAGCAAGGGGUUAGGCGCCUCUAUGUGGCCAUAAGGAGUCGUCGUUGCCGCGCCAUAACCUCGGAGUUCUCCGUGUGAGCCAUGGAGGCCCGCCUCCACCUGCAAGUACUUCGCUCCGCCGCGGCUUAUCCGCGCGCCGCCGCCGUUCUGCAUCGAGCAGACGCAUCAUCCCAAGUCUCUGUAGCUGUCGCGUUGAUUUGAUCCAAAAGCUAUGCUCGAGCGCCGAAACGGGGGCAGCAAGCAGGCAGAGAUACGACCGCGGAGGCGGGUGGGUUGAGAUCGACAGCAGUGGUGGUUGAGGUCGGCCGCGGCGACGAGUGGUGUGACAGCGGCCUGGUCACAGGCCAGGGUGGACCAGGGAUCGACGCGAUGCGCUCGAGCGCCGUAACGGGGGCAGUGAGCGGGGAGAGGUACAACCGCGGAGGCGGGUGGGUUGAGAUCGACAGCGGUGGCGGUUGAGGUCGGCCACGACGGCGAGUGGUGUGGCGGCGGCCUGGGCACAGGCCAGGAUGGUCCAGGGUCGACGGGAGGAGGCGAUGCGUACGGGUAUAAUUUUUGCAGCGAAUCAUUUUUUCCUUUUGUGUUGCAGUAAAUGAUGGAGCGCGGGUUGAAUAACAAAAAUCACAGGGGCUUUAUUAUAAAAAUGUCGUGGUGGGUUUUCCGACGGAAGCAAUAGCCGCUUUAUUAUUAGGUAGGUAUAGAUAUAAAUGAUUCAUGGGACCAACGCGCUUUAAGUUUCAGAACACACGCUUUUAAUCUUUUUAUAAUAAUGUUGAUUUAUUAAAAUAAUAAGCUAACUAACUAAUGUAGUCAGUUCUAUCCUAUUUUGUUGAGAAAUCAACCCGUCCAUUGUUAAUUCCACCAUGAUGAGAAAUUGAGCGGGACAAGCAAAGCAAAACAAAGAGGCUACCUGAAUUGAUCGAUGGGUUGUUAUCUUAUUUCACUCAUGGGGUAGAGAAUGUGGGAUCACAUGACAAACUGAAGGUGGUGUUCCAUUCUCUCUCUAUAUAACAAUGCAAUCUUACAUUCAAUACAUUCAUUCAUCAGCAAAACAAAUUCCCACAAAACAAAAUUUCUUGCCGGUGCUUGGCACACGGUUGGAGGCAUGGGGAGGGGAUCUCACCAGAUGAUGAGUUCCUACCGGAGGAGGGAUACGAUGAGGGGAGCAAGGGGUUAGGCGCCUCUAUGUGGCCAUAAGGAGUAGUCAUUGCCGCGCCAUAACCUCGGAGUUCCCCGUGUGAGCCAUGGAGGCCCGCCUCCACCUGCAAGUACUUCGCUCCGCCGCGGCUUAUCCGCGCUCCGCCGCCGUUCUGCAUCGAGCAGACGCAUCAUCCCAAGUCUCUGUAGCUGUCGCGUUGAUUUGAUCCAGAAGCUGUGCUCGAGCGCCGAAACGGGGGCAUCAAGCAGGCAGAGGUACGACCGCGGAGGCGGGUGGGUUGAGGUCGACAGCAGUGGUGGUUGAGGACGGCCGCGGCGACGAGUGGUGUGACAGCGGCCUGGGCACAGGCCAGGGUGGACCAGGGUCGACGCGAUGCGCUCGAGCGCCGUAACGGGGCAGUGAGCGGGGAGAGGUACAGCCGCGGAGGCGGGUGGGUUGAGAUCGGCAGCGGUGGCGGUUGAGGUCGGCCACGACGGCGAGUGGUGUGGCGGCGGCCUGGGCACAGGCCAGGGUGGUCCAGGGUCGACGGGAGGAGGCGAUGCGUACGGGUAUAAUUUCUGCAGCGAAUCGUUUUUUCCUUUUGUGUUGCAGUAAAUGAUGGAGCGCGGGUUGAAUAACAAAAAUUACAGGGGCUUUAUUAUAAAAAUGUCGUGGUGGGUUUUCUGACGGAAGCAAUAGCCGCUUUAUUAUUAGGUAUAGAAAUAAUAAGCUAACUAACUAAUGUAGUCAGUCCUAUCCUAUUUUGUUGAGAAAUCAACCCGUCCAUUGUUAAUUCCACCAUGAUGAGAAAUUGAGCGGGACAAGCAAAGCAAAACAAAGAGGCUACCUGAAUUGAUCAAUGGACUGUUAUCUUAUUUCACUCAUGGGGUAGAGAAUGUGGGAUCAGAUGACAAACUGAAGGUGGUGUUCCAUUCUCUCUCUAUAUAACAAUGCAAUCUUACAUUCAAUACAUUCAUUCAUCAGCAAAACAAAUUCCCACAAAACAAAAUUUCUUGCCGGUGCUUGGCACACGGUUGGAGGCAUGGGGAGGGGAUCUCAUUAGAUGAUGAGUUCCUACCGGAGGAGGGGAUACGAUGAGGGGAGCGAGGGGUUAGGCGCCUCUAUGUGGCCAUAAGGAGUCGUCGUUGCCGCGCCAUAACCUCGGAGUUCCCCGUGUGAGCCAUGGAGGCCCGCCUCCACCUGCAAGUACUUCGCUCCGCCGCGCCUUAUCCGUGCGCCGCCGCCAUUCUGCAUCGAGCAGACGCAUCAUCCCAAGUUGUUGUAGCUGUCGCGUUGAUUUGAUCCAGAAGCUGUGCUCGAGCGCCGAAACGGGGGCAGCAAGCAGGCAGAGGUACGACCGCGGAGGCGGGUGGGUUGAGAUCGACAUAAGUGGUGGUUGAGGUCGGCCGCGGCGACGAGUGGUGUGACAGCGGCCUGGGCACAGGCCAGGAUGGACCAGGGUCGACGCGAUGCGCUCGAGCGCCGUAACGGGGCAGUGAGCGGGGAGAGGCACAGUCACAGAGGCGGGUGGGUUGAGAUCGGCAGCGGUGGCGGUUGAGGUCGGCCACGACGGCGAGUGGUGUGGCGACGGCCUGGGCACAGGCCAGGGUGGUCCAGGGUCGACGGGAGGAGGCGAUGCGUACAGGUAUAAUUUUUGCAGUGAAUCGUUUUUUCCCUUUGUGCUGCAGUAAAUGGUGGAGCACGGGUUGAAUAACAAAAAUUACAGGGGCUUUAUUAUUAGGUAAUAGAUACCCGUGCGUUGCAACGGGGUAAACAUUUUUUUUAUUUAACUUAUUAUUUUAAUUUUAAUAAUUUUUUGUUUUUGACUCGUCAUAUUGAUAGCGUGUACUUACGAUUACACUCAAACAUCAUUUGGGUGGUUUGAUACUUUUAAUCUUUGAUGAGAAAUAAUACAAAGGAGAAAAGGAGACGUUGAAUGAAUAGUCAUUAUAACAAAGAUUUUUGUGCAGAUGCUGAAUUAUUCACACGUGCACAAUAUUAACAUGUGUUUAUACCAACACUGAAUACUCAAAGAUACAUAUAAAAUGCAAUAUUUAUGAUUGAUUACCUUCAGUUGAUAUAUGGUCAUGUCUAUUCGCGUGAUCGGGAUGCCUUUAUGCUCAAGCAUGCCCAGCGCUAACAAUGCAGCUCUGCACACGGACCCAAUUUUCGUUGUCAUCAUCAUCAUCGUCAUCGACCUACGCAGCGCACACACACAAACACCACUGUUUUAUUCUCAAAGAAAAAAAAUACAGUUCCAUUGCAGUAUUAACCCUCUGCUAUUUUGUUACGUAGUACCAGUUCCAUUGCAGUAUUAACCCCCUGCUAUUUUGUUACGUAGUAUACUACGGCUGCUACUGACUACUACUCCGGAGCUCCAGGUACGUGAUGGACGUGCCGGAGUGUCACGCCCAAGAUGCGACCCUAUCCUCAAUUUGGCACGAGGGCCUCGUCAGGGAUAGAAGCGCAUCUCGUCGUGUCGCAAGAAUGGAUAUCGUUACAAGUACAUGUACUAAAAAGAAGAGAUAUAUAGAAUUGGCUUACACUCGCCACAAGCUACAUCAGAGUCACAUCAGUACAUUACAUAAUCAUCAAGAGUAAGAGCAGGGUCCGACUACGGACGAAAAUAAACGACAAAAGAAGAACGACGUCCAUCCUUGCUAUCCCAGGCUGCCGGCCUGGAACCCAUCCUAGAUCGAUGACGAAGAAGAAGAAGAAGAAGCAACUCCGAAUGAACAAUCAACGCGCUCGCGUCAAGUAAUCUUAGCCUGUACCUGCAACUGUUGUUGUAGUAAUCUCUGAGCCACAGGGGACUCAGCAAUCUCAUUUCCAAAGGUAUCAAGACUAGCAAAGCUUAAUGGGUGAGGUAUGGUUAAGUGGUGAGGUUGCAGCAGCGGCUAAGCAUAUAUUUGGUGGCUAAACUUACGAGUACAAGAAAUAAGAGGGGGAAGGUCUACGCAUAGCGGACGUGAACUACAGAUGAUCAAAUGAACGAUCCUGAACACCUACCCACGUCAGACAUAACCCCAUCGUGUCCUCGAUCGGAGCAGGAACUCACGAAAGAGACAGUCACGGUUACGCACACCGUUGGCAAGUUUUAAUUAAAUUAACUUCAAGUUAUCUAGAACCAGUGUUAAACAAAGUUUCCACGUUGCCACAUAACCGCGGGCACGGCUUUCCGAAAGAUUUAACCCUGCAGGGGUGCUCCAACUAGUCCAUCACAAAUUACCACAAGCCGCAUAGAAAUCCUCAAUCACGAAGCUCGCGAUCUCGUCGGAUUCCCUAAUGGAAAACCUCAACUCUGAGAUUACCCAAAGCAUCACCGGAAUCCCGAUGCACAAGAUAUCUCGUCAAAGGUAAAACUAAUCCAGCAAGGCCGCCCGACGUGUCGACGAUCCCGAUAGGAGUCGCGUACCUCGUCCUCAGGACACGACGGAUGAGCUAGACGUCGGGAUCGCUAAACCUCCGGGUGACCAGAGGGGCGCCGGACAUCGCUCAGGUGGGACCAACACUCAUGAGGAGCACUGGCCUGGGGGUUGAUUAAAUUAUCCUCGGGGUCCGGAAAGUCCCUAUGCAAUUUUAUUAGGUGUUUAGGCAAAUGUAGUAUCAAAGUUGGGCCUUGCCAGACCAGUCUUACUCUAAAACGAAUUAUCAAGGGGGUCCCCAUAACAACCCCGAUCGUGUUAGGAGCGCUCAAUUAUGGAACAUAACACCGGUAGCCGGUAACUAAGAGGGCAAAGGUGGAACAAAACACCAAGCUAGAAAGGCCGAGCCUUCCACCUUUUACCAAGUAUAUAGGUGCAUUAAAUUAAAUAGCAUUAAUAUGGUGAUAUGACAAGGAACCCAUGUAAUCACAUGGAAGCAACUGCACCUACAACUAGCAACGCUAACAACAGGGUUAAGCAAGCAGUAACAUGGCCAAUCAGUGGUUUGCUAGGUCGAACAGGUUGAAGGUUUCAUGGCUUUGUGGAGAGGCUGAUAAUUAACAUGUGGUAGGCAACGAGACAUAAUCGGUAGAAGCGGUAAAACUAGCAUGGCAAUGAUAGUAAUGGUAUCUGGGGAAAUGAUCAUCUUGCCUGAGAUCCCGCUUGGAAGAAGAACAACUCCGUGAAGCAGACGAACCGACAUAGUCGAACGGGUCCUCACAUCCGACACGCUUGCGGACUCUAUCGAGACGGGGGAAACCAGAAACAAGAAUCAACACACGAUAUUCACCACACGAUGCACAACACAUAUGAUGCAUGAGCUACUGAAUACAUGCAAGUCACGGCAUGACAAAUCACACAAUCAAACACUACACAUUAAGUGAAGUUCAAUAUGCACGAGUUGCAUAUUGACGAAACUCCAUGUUAAUUAUUUAGUUCACUCCCGGUUAUCUACACGGCAAUAUUAAUGUUGUCAAACAUGCAAGAGGUGAAGUGGAAGUUAAACUACCUAUCUAGGCAUUUUAAGUGAGGUCGGAAAUGACAUAUAGCACCUCCGAAACGACCUCACAUGUUAAUUUGCAAUUCUGUCCAGAUCUGAAUUAAUAUCUUUAGUUGGUUGUUAAGCAGCAAAACAAAUAGGUUCACGUGAUUCUACGUGUCCAGGCAAGCAACCUACACGUAAAGAACAUCUCCAACGGAGCUACGGAACAAAAGAUACAAGCACCGCAAGAUAUGAUGGCAUGAAUGCAAAAUGUGUGCAACGGCGGCUACGAGCACUUCAACACAUUGAAACAACUAGAUAAAAUGAAACUACACGAGACUCUAAGCAAGUUUCAUGUAGGACACGAUCAAAACGGAGCUACGGUUCAACAUCUACGAGCAAAACAAGAAAUCACUACAAUCUGCCAAAACAGCCAUAUAGCACUUUCUACGCCUCACAACUUCGGCUACACAACUCCGAUAAGCUCAAGCAAGGCAUGGCAUGAAAUAGGGCAAGUAGCACUACUUUAAACAACUAACAACAACUAGCAUGGCAGCAAGGAGCACUAGGAAAAGAAGACACAAAAUGACUUCUCACGCACUAUUUCAGACUUAGUGAAAAUAACACCUCGCGAGAGUGCAGUUUUCAACCUGACGGCAUAUUGACAGCAGCAAAACCUAUAGCUACAGGACUCCAAAUGGCAUGAAACUUAACAGCAUGCUAAAUAAACAUAAGGGGUACAACUAACUCCAUUGGACCAACUCCAAAAGAGCUACAGAUCACAAGAUACAAGCAGGACAAGACAGCAACAAAAUAUAACAGAUUCCAGACUUAGAAAUAUAUCAGGUCCUCUAAAACAGCACUAUUUCUUGCAACUUGAGAGCAAGCAAAAAACACCUAUACAUGCAUUUCUAUUGCAACUAAAAAUACCAGGGGCUAAACAAAACACCCAAGAUCAACUCUCCAGUUGACAACUAAUUCAAACGAGGCAUGGAAUAAAACCUACGAAUUAAACAAAAGGGCUUCACGGCAAAAUAUCUCGCGAACUAACUUACUCGAAAGCCAAAACUAAUUGCACAGAAAAAUCCCUGGGAUUUUUCUACCCCGGAAACAUAUAUAAUAUGUGGGGUUUGCAACACAAAAUAACGCCACACAAUAAUGCGGGAGAAAUAGACCUAGACACGAAAAGUAAUCUAACGGGCAAUCCCUACACGCAAAAAUACGAGUGACCGCGCUAAAAUACGUAGAGAUAUGGUCCAUAAAACAUGGACAUUAAAUCUAUGGCAUACGGGCAAUCCGGAUACGCACGAAAAUUAACUACGGAAUGGAUCCUAGUUAAACAGCACGUAAAACGAGGCAUUAGGCACUCUAAACAGCGUUAAACAAAUAUGCAUGUUGGAUAAUCGUGUUCUACUCGCGAAGCUACCCCAAAACGAUAUAUAACACGUCCCGAACCGGCUUACGGAAUAUAAGAUACGGGGGUUUGAAAAUCUAGUUUUUUUCUGGAAUAUAUAUAUUAACUCCGAAAAAACCUAAAUUACUAGCGGGCCUAUUCUAUUUGCUAAUGGGCCACUUGACAUGCGCGUGAUCUAGCAAAAUGCGCCAGGAGCGGGAUAUUAGCUGGCAGGGGCUGCUCACCUUGUGGGCUUAGCCCGGUGGAUGGUGGCACGCGUCGGCGCGGAGCUGGGCCGACGAGGCGAGGCUGUCCUGGGCCACGGGGACCAGCGGUGGCGGACUGGUGGAGCUGGUGCGGGCCGGUUGCGGCACGCCUGGGCCUGGGCGGCGCUGGGCCACGCGGCGGCUGGCCGAUCUGCAGGGCGCGCGCCAAGUGGUUGGUGGCGCGACAGGCGCUGGUCAACGCGCGGGGUCUCGGCACCGCAGGAGUUCAAGCGGGGAAGCACCGAGGGAGGAGUUGCGGCGGCUGGCGCGAUCUGCAGGGCGCGCGCGAUCCGCAGCGCGCGGGGAGGUUGGCCACCUCGGUCAACGCGAGGCCGACCGGUCCUGCCGGAUCGGGCGGGAAGGACCUCGAUCGGGGAGGCGGCAGGGUCCCGCGCGGAAGAGCUGGCGGCAGGGAACAACGUUGGCACAGAACUAGGGACGCGGCGCGACGGGAUCUGGCGUGAAACUCGCGGCGGGGACGGCCCGCGGAACGAGGAAGACGGUGCGGCUCUCUGCCUUAGAUAGGGGAAAAUCGUGACGAGACUGGUUGGGUAGCUGAGGAUUCCAAGGCAAGCAGGUGGCGGCGGGAUGAGGGAUUGGGCAGGGGUAGGCUAGGGUUAGGCUAGAAUGGACAUAAAUACAAUAAUCGGAUUUUUGGUAGGGGCUGCCAAGACCCUCCGAUUAAAUCGGACGGACGAAAUAAAUAGGCUAGGGGGCUCAAUGGACAAACCGAUCACGUUUUGCGGUAAAACGGGGUUGAUCCGGAUCCAACGGUCACGACCGCCGGGUUCGGGUUCCGGGAGGUUUUCGGACUGGGCUGCGCGUAGGGUCGACGCACUGUCCAGAGGGGCUAGGCGAAGAUGAGAGGGAAAACGGGCGACCCGGCAACGUAAUUUUUAAAACACCGACAGACGUCCGACGGUAGACCGAAUACGGUGCCGCUAUGGGCGACCGUUCGGGUACCAGACGGUCUCCGAUCGCGACGAAAUUCGACAGGCGGCCUAGCUAGAUUAAAAUAAGACCGCACGUCAAAUCUCGACCCGAUCAGAGAAAGUUUUACGCACGCUUUAAAAACAGGGUUUGACGGUGCCGCGGGCGCGUGCGGUCGGACUCAAAACGGACGACGACGAGAACCGGCAACUACUAACGAAUGCAAGUUUUGAAAACUGGCGGCAACGGAGAUGCCGAUGCAAUGCGGAUGAUGCGCAUGAUGCGAUGAUGAUGCGGCAAAUAAAAAUACCCACACGACGAAAACGGAAAGAAAAGGGAAUCUUCUGGAACGUCGGUCUCGGGCUGUCACAACUCUCCUACACUACAAGAGGAUCUCGCCCCGAGAUCCAAGAAUGAAAGGGGGAGAGGAUGAGAAGCACAAGAGGUAAAAACUUAGUCGCUUCUUUGACAAACGAGUGAAACCAACGAUCCUUGAAGGUUUCAAAGAGAUGAGAAUGAUAUUAGAAAGAAGGAAGAAUUCACGGAAAAUUUCGGCAGCACUUCGGUAGGAAAAGGGACAAAAAUUUCGAAAAGGUGGAAGAAAUAGACAAUAUUCACGACAAACAAGUAAAUAGAGCAAGGGAACACCACGAUCUUGAUAGAACAACGAGAUAGACCCAAAAGAGGAACAUCACAAAGCCUCCGGAACAAUAGAAUAGGAACUAACUCAUACGGAAGAAGAGAAUGACAACUACUAACUCCAAUGAACUUGACAAGCAUCCUUGCAAGAAGAAUUGGAUGAAGUUGUUGGGAAAAACAACAAUGAAAAGAACAAGAUAGUAGUGGGCUUAUGAAAAUCAUCUCAACAAAUAUGAGGUGACAACCAACCACUACAAGAACCAGGGAUAGAUUGGGAACAACAAGAUAAGAACAACUCUAACCCGAAGAGGAUACAUUGAGAACUGGGAUUAAAGACAAGCACCAUGAUAGCACAAUCUCUAGGAAAAGCUUUAGGUGCAAUCCAAACCAAAAUAGCUCAAUGAAGAAAUCAUGGGUAGAAAAUAUCUCAACACCAUAGAAUCGGUGGGUGUAAUUAUCUCAUCCUUGAAAGGAAAACUCUUCGAGGCUCCUACACUAACAAGAAGGCUAUAAUACCACCUCAAAGGAUAAAGGAAGAACAAUUGCACCGAAAAUGGAAGAGAAAGAAUACUUGAGGUAUUCCAACAGGAAUCUUGAAGAACACAUGAGAAUGAAUCCCAUCCUUGAUGAACCACAAAGAAGGACCCCCGUAUACAAAUGAACGAUGCAAAGAUAUCAAGGUAGAAAAGACUAAGAUUAUGCCCUGCCAAGAUUCAGAUGAAGCUUCACAAAGAGAUACUUAAAGAACUUGGAGCUCCGAAAAAGAAAUAUAGGCACUUUAGAAAAGAAUUGAUAUCAUGAGCCACUCCGGAAGAAGAAUUCAGAUUACUAUGAACAAGAAUAAGAAUUAUGUUAUGUUUAUCCUUCAUCAAGUUUAAUUGAUGACAAGCAUCGGAUCUAGCAAACAACUUAUUCCUCUAGAAAUGAAUCUUGAAGAGGCAGAGAGAUAAGCACCACUUGAAGCAUAAAUGAAAGAAGCACGGUAAGAAUUCCAAUUGAAUGGGAAAUUCCAAGAAUGCAUAGAAACAUCUGAGAAUGAAGAGAUCAUGAGCCACGAGAGAGAAAACUUGAACAAGGCACCGGAUAACCGAGAGACGAACGAAGAGACAACAAUGGAGAAGAAUUGAGGAUGAAAGCUGAAAGCUGAGAACGAAGAAUCUUCUGAAAUGAUGGCCUUCGGAGGAUCAAGAAUAAAACAACUCAGAAAUGCACCGGAUAGCCAGAAAUGAAUCACUCAUGAUUGGAACAAAUGAGAGGAUACACGAAGCUGAGGUGAUAGUCUUCACAAGAAUGGAACAAGACUGAGAGAAACACCUCUUCGAAUUGCAAGCUGAGAAUGAUAACGAGAACAACACCACGAAUAGCUGAGACCUCCGGAAUAAAGAAGAAUGCAAGAUUGAGCCAACUAUGAGAAAUAACUCCAAUUGAUCUUGAAGAAUGAAUAUGACUGAUGAAAAUCAUACUUACGUCAUAGUUGAAAAGAACUAAAGAUCUCCGGAGAUGAUUAAAAGAGCCAGGUAAGAUCCUGGGAAAGAACCUGUGGGUUAUGGGCCCACUCAAAGAAACCACCGUUGAAAAGAUUGCCAGAAAGAUUGAUAUAGCACCAAUAUGAAGAGAACUAGAUGAGGUUAGCACCUCGAAAUAAUAAAAGAGUUGAAAACACGAAACUACUGAGAUAUCUUCAACACACCGGAUAAAAAGGAGAAGAAUGAAUAACAGGAUAGGCUGAUAAGAAUCUCCAACAUAGGAAGAAUUACAAGGAUGAAAAGGAUAUGAUGAACACGGACAACUGAAUUAAAUCACCGGAUGAGACACGGAAGAAAAAAUAUAGCGGAAGCACAAUGAAAUGAAUGCACUUGGAUAAAAUCCAAUCACCGAGGAAAAAGGGCGGGAGGGCGGGGAAAAACAAAGACAACUUGGGACGGAUGAGAUGAACUCCGGAAUAAGAUGAGAGAAUGAUCUGCAAAAAUUGGAGAGGAUAGAAUUCACUAGAGAAUCACACCGGUUGAAUGGAAUUGAUACGAUGACUCCGGUUAAAAGGAAUUGAUAAGACAACUGAUUAAGCAAAAGGAUUUGCAUUCUCACAUAAAAAUAUGAGAACACCUCUUAAAAAGAUCUGAAAUCAACACUUGACAUCGAAGCAACACGAAUUACCAUAAUCAAAAAAACAAAGGGUGUGGCUUAUGAAACAAACCAGAACAAACUCAUGAGAAAGAUUUCCNNNNNNNNNNNNNNNNNNNNNNNNNNNNNNNNNNNNNNNNNNNNNNNNNNNNNNNNNNNNNNNNNNNNNNNNNNNNNNNNNNNNNNNNNNNNNNNNNNNNGAUUUCCGUUCGAUAUUUUCGUGGACAGGAUCGCACGGGCACGAUUUACAGAAGCCAUCAAGUGCAAGGCAGUGCACCCGACAUACGAAGCGUCCCCGAGUCGUAGCAAGCUACAAGGACUCUUUAAGACACAACGUGUACCGCUGUAAGUCGACCGUGAACAAACGAAUCCACUAGAUGUCGAACCCCAACCUAACAUCAUGCAUUUGUUGGAAGAUUGUCCUAUAAGCAACUACUUGAAUUCCCACCUAUGAAUUCCCGAAAUAUCUGGUCAUGCAAUCUGGUACACGGAUACAAGGAGUAAUAUCACACAACUCCUAUACUAACCCGUCACUUGUAUCACAUCCAUCAACACACGACCAGAAUCUCAGACCUUCAUCUACAACAGACCCUCGUGAUCACAACGAUACAAAGUAUGGCAGUACUCCCGAACAAUCUGCACCAGUACUGGGGACAUCGGGGUUAUCUCGCCACUACUAGUAUUGAAGCAAUUACGAACAUCCUUCGUCCUGAGAUACUAAGAAAUCUGAAUGAUAACGAUGUGCUCGAGAAUCCCCUGGAGCUCAACUCCCUGGAAGAAGAUCAAGUCAGACAGGAGGCACCAAGACAGAACUCCGUCACAUCGGCAUCAUAUAGAUCCCAAGAAUAUCCGCGUGAUCCUAAAAAAAAUUGAGUGAGAAGAGGAGUAGAAUAAAUUAUUACGUCAAGAUUCCUCACCAGAGCAUAGAAGAGGAGAAAAAAAGAAUCCUACUCUCCGAUAUAUAACUAGACUCAAAUAGUUUUUUCACUAGACUUGACUCGGCCAAGUUCGAUCAAUCAAGGGGGCUCCUAGGUCGGUCCUUGCUCUGAUACCAACUUGCCACGCCCAAGAUGCGACCCUAUCCUCAAUUUGGCACGAGGGCCUCGUCAGGGAUAGAAGCGCAUCUCGUCGUGUCGCAAGAAUGGAUAUCGUUACAAGUACAUGUACUGAAAAGAAGAGAUAUAUAGAAUUGGCUUACACUCGCCACAAGCUACAUCAGAGUCACAUCAGUACAUUACAUAAUCAUCAAGAGUAAGAGCAGGGUCCGACUACGGACAAAAAUAAACGACAAAAGAAGAAUGACGUCCAUCCUUGCUAUCCCAGGCUGCCGGCCUGGAACCUAUCCUAGAUCGAUGACGAAGAAGAAGAAGAAGCAACUCCGAAUGAACAAUCAACGCGCUCGCGUCAAGUAAUCUUAGCCUGUACCUGCAACUGGUGUUGUAGUAAUCUGUGAACCACAAGGGACUCAGCAAUCUCAUUUCCAAAGGUAUCAAGACUAGCAAAGCUUAAUGGGUGAGGUAUGGUUAAGUGGUGAGGUUGCAGCAGCGGCUAAGCAUAUAUUUGGUGGCUAAACUUACGAGUACAAGAAAUAAGAGGGGGAAGGUCUACGCAUAGCGGACGUGAACUACAGAUGAUCAAAUGAAUGAUCCUGAACACCUACCCACGUUAGACAUAACCCCACCGUGUCCUCGAUCGGAGCAGGAACUCACGAAAGAGACAGUCACGGUUACGCACACCGUUGGCAAGUUUUAAUUAAACUAACUUCAAGUUAUCUAGAACCAGUGUUAAACAAAGUUUCCAUGUUGCCACAUAACCGCGGGCACGGCUUUCCGAAAGAUUUAACCCUGCAGGGGUGCUCCAACUAGUCCAUCACAAAUUACCACAAGCCGCAUAGAAAUCCUAAAUCACGAAGCUCGCGAUCUCGUCGGAUUCCCUAAUGGAAAACCUCAACUCUGAGAUUACCCAAAGCAUCACCGGAAUCCCGAUGCACAAGAUAUCUCGUCAAAGGUAAAAAUAAUCCAGCAAGGCCGCCCGACGUGUCGACGAUCCCGAUAGGAGUCGCGUACCUCGUUCUCAGGACACGGCGGAUGAGCUAGACGUCGGGAUCGCUAAACCUCCGGGUGACCAGAGGGGCGCCGGACAUCGCUCAGGUGGGACCAACACUCAUGAGGAGCACUGGCCGGGGGGUUGAUUAAAUUAUCUUCGUGGUCCGGAAAGUCCCUAUGCAAUUUUAUUAGGUGUUUAGGCAAAUGUAGUACCAAAGUUGGGCCUUGCCAGACCAGUCUUACUCUAAAACGAAUUAUCAAGGGGGUCCCCAUAACAACCCCGAUCGUGUUAGGAGCGCUCAAUUAUGGAACAUAACACCGGUAGCCGGUAACUAAGAGGGCAAAGGUGGAACAAAACACCAGGCUAGAAAGGCCGAGCCUUCCACCUUUUACCAAGUAUAUAGGUGCAUUAAAUUAAAUAGCAUUAAUAUGGUGAUAUGACAAGGAACCCAUGUAAUCACAUGGAAGCAACUGCACCUGCAACUAGCAACGCUAACAACAGUGUUAAGCAAACAGUAACAUGGCCAAUCAGUGGUUUGCUAGGUCGAACAGGUUGAAGGUUUCAUGGCUUUGUGGAAAGGCUGAUAAUUAACAUGUGGUAGGCAACGAGACAUAAUCGGUAGAAGCGGUAAAACUAGCAUGGCAAUGAUAGUAAUGGUAUCUGGGGAAAUGAUCAUCUUGCCUAAGAUCCCGCUUGGAAGAAGAACAACUCCGUGAAGCAGACGAACCGACGUAGUCGAACGGGUCCUCACAUCCGACACGCUUGCGGACUCUAUCGAGACGGGGAAAACCGGAAACAAGAAUCAACACACGAUAUUCACCACACGAUGCACAACACAUAUGAUGCAUGAGCUACUGAAUACAUGCAAGUCACGGCAUGACAAAUCACACAAUCAAACACUACACAUUAAGUGAAGUUCAAUAUGCACGAGUUGCAUAUUGACGAAACUCCACGUUAAUUAUUUAGUUCACUCCCGGUUAUCUACACGGCAAUAUUAAUGUUGUCAAACAUGCAAGAGGUGAAGCGGAAGUUAAACUACCUAUCUAGGCAUUUUAAGUGAGGUCGCAAAUGACAUAUAGCACCUCCGAAAUGACCUCACAUGUUAAUUUGCAAUUCUGUCCAGAUCUGAAUUAAUACCUUUAGUUGGUUGUUAAGCAGCAAAACAAAUAUGUUCACGUGAUCCUACGUGUCCAGGCAAGCAACCUACACGUAAAGAACAUCUCCAACGGAGCUACGGAACAAAAGAUACAAGCACCGCAAGAUAUGAUGGCAUGAAUGCAAAAUGUGUGCAACGGAAGCUACGAGCACUUCAACACAUUCAAACAGCAAGAGAAAAUGAAACUACACGAGACUCUAAGCAAGUUUCAUGUAGGACACGAUCAAAAUGAAGCUACGGUUCAACAUCUACGAGCAAAACAAGAAAUCACUACAAUCUGCCAAAACAGCCAUAUAGCACUUUCUACGCCUCACAACUUCGGCUACACAACUCCGAUAAGCUCAAGCAAGGCAUGGCAUGAAAGAGGGAAAGUAGCACUACUUUAAACAACUAACAACAACUAGCAUGGCAGCAAGGAGCACUAGGAAAAGAAGACACAGAAUGACUUCUCACGCACUAUUUCAGACUUAGUGAAAAUAACACCUCGCGAGAGUGCAGUUUUCAACCUGAAGGCAUAUUGACAGCAGCAAAACCUAUAGCUACAGGACUCCAAAUGGCAUGAAACUUAACAGCAUGCUAAAGAAACAUAAGGGGUACAACUAACUCCAUUGGACCAACUCCAAAAGAGCUACAGAUCACAAGAUACAAGCAAGACAAGACAGCAACAAAAUAUAACAGAUUCCAGACUUAGAAAUAUAUCAGCUCCUCUAAAACAACACUAUUUCUAGCAACUUGAGAGCAAGCAAACAACACCUAUACAUGCAUUUCUAUUGCAACUAAAAAUACCAGGGGCUAAACAAAACACCCAAGAUCAACUCUCCAGUUGACAACUAAUUCAAACGAGGCAUGGAAUAAAACCUACGAAUUAAACAAAACGGCUUCACAGCAAAAUAUCUCGCGAACUAACAUACUCGAAAGCCAAAACUAAUUGCACAGAAAAAUCCCUGGGAUUUUUCUACCCCGGAAACAUAUAUAAUAUGUGGGGUUUGCAACACAAAAUAACGCCACACAAUAAUGCGGGAGAAAUAGACCUAGACACGAAAAGUAAUCUAACGGGCAAUCCCUACACGCAAAAACACGAGUGACAGCGCUAAAAUACGUAGAGAUAUGGUCCAUAAAACAUGGACAUUAAAUCUAUGGCAUACGGGCAAUCCGGAUACGCACGAAAAUUAACUACGGAAUGGAUCCUAGUUAAACAGCACGUAAAACGAGGCAUUAGGCACUCUAAACAGCGUUAAACAAAUAUGCAUGUUGGAUAACCGUGUUCUACUCGCGAAGCUACCCCAAAACGAUAUAUAACACGUCCCGAACCGGCUUACGGAAUAUAAGAUACGGGGGUUUGAAAAUCUAGUUUUUUUCUGGAAUUUAUAUAUUAACUCCGAAAAAACCUAAAUUACUAGCGGGCCUAUUCUAUUUGCUAAUGGGCCACUCGACAUGCGCGUGAUCUAGCAAAAUGCGCCAGGAGCGGGAUAUUAGCUGGCAGGGGCUGCUCACCUUGUGGGCUUAGCCCGGUGGAUGGUGGCACGCGUCGGCGCGGAGCUGGGCCGACGAGGCGAGGCGGUCCUGGGCCACGGGGACCAGCGGUGGCGGACUGGUGGAGCUGGUGCGGGCCGGUUGCGGCGCGCCUGGGCCUGGGCGGCGCUGGGCCACGCGGCGGCUGGCCGAUCUGCAGGGCGCGCGCGAAGCGGUUGGUGGCGCGACGGGCGCUGGUCAACGCGCGGGGUCUCGGCACCGCAGGAGUUCAAGCGGGGAAGCACCGAGGGAGGAGUUGCGGCGGCUGGCGCGAUCUGCAGGGCGCGCGCGAUCCGCAGCGCGCGGGGAGGUUGGCCACCUCGGUCAACGCGAGGCCGGCCGGUCCUGCCGGAUCGGGCGGGAAGGACCUCGAUCGGGGAGGCGGCAGGGUCCCGCGCGGAAGAGCUGGCGGCAGGGAACAGCGUUGGCACAGAACUAGGGACGCGGCGCGACGGGAUCUGGCGCGAAACUCGCGGCGGGGACGGCCCGCGGAACGAGGAAGACGGUGCGGCUCUCUGCCUUAGACAGGGGAAAAUCGUGACGAGACUGGUUGGGUAGCUGAGGAUUCCAAGGCAAGCAGGUGGCGGCGGGAUGAGGGAUUGGGCAGGGGUAGGCUAGGGUUAGGCUAGAAUGGACAUAAAUACAAUAAUCGGAUUUUUGGUAGGGGCUGCCAAGACCCUCCGAUUAAAUCGGACGGAAGAAAUAAAUAGGCUAGGGGGCUCAAUGGACAAACCGAUCACGUUUUGCGGUAAAACGGGGUUGAUCCGGAUCCAACGGUCACGACCGCCGGGUUCGGGUUCCGGGAGGUUUUCGGACUGGGCUGCGCGUAGGGUCGACGCACUGUGCAGAGGGGCUAGGCGAAGAUGAGAGGGAAAAUGGGCGACCCGGCAACGUAAUUUUUAAAACACCGACAGACGUCCGACGGUAGACCGAAUACGGUGCCGCUACGGGCGACCGUUCGGGUACCAGACGGUCUCCGAUCGCGACGAAAUUCGACAGGCGGCCUAGCUAGAUUAAAAUAAGACCGCACGUCAAAUCUCGACCCGAUCAGAGAAAGUUUUACGCACGCUUUAAAAACAGGGUUUGACGGUGCCGCGGGCGCGUGCGGUCGGACUCAAAACGGACGACGACGAGAACCGGCAACUACUAACGAAUGCAAGUUUUGAAAACUGGCGGCAACGGAGAUGCCGAUGCAAUGCGGAUGAUGCGCAUGAUGCGAUGAUGAUGCGGCAAAUAAAAAUACCCACACGACGAAAACGGAAAGAAAAGGGAAUCUUCUGGAACGUCGGUCUCGGGCUGUCACACGGAGUCCACGAUGACCCCGCCCGUGCCGUCGUCCUUCACGGCGAACGCCGAGGUCGGCGGGGUGAUGUGCGUCGAGCCGACGGCCAGGCCCUUGAGGUUCACGUAGUAGAAGGACGGCUGGCUCGGUUCCUGAUGAGAGGGGUAGUCUGCUCCAUCCGUCUCUCGUCCCUAUCUGCGUCUCUUUCUUCACCAAUACUGUAUAACACACGACCGAGCGUUUGGCGACCCCGGCUGAUUCCCCGAGCGCGCAUCCACCAAGCCACCAAGCUCCCCAUCUCCACGCACCUCACCUCGGCGUCGCUUGGUGGCAGAGUCAUGGCAGUGGCGGUGGGGCCUCUCCUCGUCUGCCAGCCGAUCCAUUGCGCACGACCACCCCUCGCAACUGUCAGCCCGCGCUCCGGUGGUGCGUCUCUCGGUGGCGGAGUGCCCCCUUGUGGCAGAUAUGGGACGGUUGUUUCGCUAUCCUCAUGUAACUUGCCGCAGCGCGUCUCUCAGUGACGGAGUGUCCCCUGGGGGCAGAUCUGGGGCGGUUGUUCUGGUGGCCUCCUGUGACUCCCCGCGACACCUUGCCCUACUCCCCCUCCGCCGCCACCAAUAGUUCCCGGCGCGGCGCGUCCUCGAUUUGCAGCAUCCGGCUCCACCCACCCUUCAUCCUCCUCGGCCUCUCCCCAACCUCCCGGUUAUAGCGGGUCGUCCCGACCAUACCUGUCCGCCGCGCUCUCCCCGACCGUUGACCCUGCUCAAGCAGAGCCCGCUCGAAGCCGAGCCGCCAGCGCGCCAGAGACCACGACGCCGACAGAUCCGUGCGGCGAGGGGAGGAGUAAACUCGAAACGUUUUUUUUCAGAUCCACUUAAAUAGGGACUGCGGGUUGAAUACCCAAAAGAGGAGGGACUUUUGUGAAAAAGUGCCAAUGACGUACGGCAGAAGCCUUGGGUGCUUUAUUAUUAGGGAUAGAUCAUUAGGGGAGAUACGUGGCAAGCGGGGGAGAGAAUGUGGUGUCGAUUUUGGGCCGGGUUGUGUGUUCUUAGUUGGACUUUUCAGCAAACAAUUUGUCCUCUAGACGCUUCCUUCCUUGAAUUUUUCAUAUAUGUCGAUUUAUAUCCAUCUAUUACAUUCAAAACCAAAGAAUUACACUAGGUGAGUGUUAGAAUACAUAUAGAUUUAUUAACUCCACACAUAGCAGGGGCCCAAAGAGGUAUAUCCCCGGACAUAAACCUAAUUUUUUGAGAUAACAAUAUAUUUUGCUGCUCGACCAUUUAUUCGGUUCACAUAUUACUUUCACCUUUAGCUUCGUUUCAACGAGAGCUUCAAAACAAUAAAUUUUAUAGCUCAACCGUUUAUCAUAUUCAUAGUUAGUUUUCAUCUUUAGCUUCGUUACGACGAGAGCUUCAAAACUAGUACAUCUACAUAUUUUAACAAAAGAAUCGUUUUGGGUCUUUUGCUUUCUAGACAACAAUAUAUUAGUUGCCUACAUAUUCUGUAACGAGUUACCAGGUAACUUUAACACCAAUACAGUGACAACUUCAUAAGAUUGCCAGACGACAAUUAUGUUUUCAUUACAAGUAUUCUUUGUUACAAUGUAACAACCCAUAGGCAGCAGCCUAUUUUGCAACACGUCGCCCGUAAAAAAAAAAGCCUACUUUGCAACACCUUAGCACGGUGCAAGCUUGGUAUCAAUACAUGGAGAAUUUCAUACAUCUUUGGGUGGUAACUUUUUUAUAGGAUAGGGCCGUAACUUUGAAGGUGGUUUUUUCAUUUGUUGAAAAUACUCGUAGAUAUUAGCUAUCUUCGUUGCGGAACUAGUCCAUUAGUUUUUUUUAAUUAUUUGGUAUUGAUGCUCGUAUUUUUCUGAACAUAUUUCAUGUUUUCUAACGAUAUUCAUUCAGUGAAAGAAGACGUUCUCACCGAUUAUGAAGACAUAUGCGGUGCUUCAUCAAUCUCAAAAUGAUAUGUUGGCUCGGUAUCUCAACAGUAUUCAUAGAGAUAAGUGUAUAUACAUUAUGCAAGCGCCCUGAUGAGAGAUAGGAGCGAAGGUAAUCCUGAAAGUGACAUUGGUGGGGCACCAUUUGUUGGAAAACCCAACCAUUUUUCUUGUUGGCCAUGCGGCGACUUGCAUGUCAAACCUGGUUUUCUUCUCGAUUCCGUGUGCCCGGAUAAAUGUCUAAAUGUUAAUACUUUUAGCAGUAAGAUUAUUCAUGUAUUUUAAAUGCGUGCAAAUUUUUAUGAUGAGAUUUCAAGAGCUCGUCACAAGAAAUCAAAUGAUGAAUACAUAUCGUAAUUAUGACAAUCACUUUAGAAGUUGCUGCCCUUUGAAAUCACAAAAACACACAAGAAAAUUCUAAACUUUGUCUCCUGUGUGUGGCAAGCGGGGGAGAGAGUGCGGUGUGGAAUUUGGGCCACAGGCUUUUUUCAUCUUUAGGAUGUGGGGUUGGGCAAUUUAUACACAUGGUGUGUGAUUAGUUAGACUUUUCAGCAAACAAUUUAUCCUCGAGACGCGUCUAACAUUAAAAUUUCCAUACAUGUCGCUUUAAAUCCAUCCAUUACAUUUAAAACCGAAGAAUUGCUAGGUGUGCGUUAGAAUACAUGUAGGAGAUAAUUAUUAACUCCACGCGUAAGAGAGUCACUGUAUAUAAAUCUAGGUUUCAAAAUAAGUGUCGUGUUUUAGUUCAAAUCUCAAACUCGUUACCAUCUAUCAAUUUACUUAUGUUUUCAGAAAAAAAAUAUUGUUUAUCACCACGCUACAACCCCUAGCCAUCAGCCUAUUUUUCAACAUGUUAACACAUAGCAACUUAUAGUUCUAGCAAAAUAAAUAAACCAUAAACUACUUUGAACUUUCUAAUCACAACAAUUAUGGAUAAUGUCAUUCUUAUAGUCUUUCUCUUUGGCGCAUGCACGCAUACAAAUACAAAUUAGCUACCAAUGUGAAAACAUAUACUUCCUCCGUUUCUAAAUAUAAGUCUUUGCAAAAAUUUCAAUACAAACUACCUACGGAGUAAAAUGAGUGAAUCUAUGUUUUAAAAUAUAUCUAAUAUAGACAUUCAUUUGUAAUUUAUAAUAAAAUUUAAAAAAAAUCAUAUUUAAAAACGAAGGGAGUAUAACGGUUUAAGGCUAAUCAGAAGCAGGAGAGAUGGCAGCGAAAGUUAUCCUGAAAGUGAUAUUGGUGGCCAUUUGUGGAAAAAACAUCCCAUUACCUGUUGGCCAUGCAUGCGACGACUUGCACGCCCUUAAUUUUCCAAGUCUUCCUUUGACCAACGACAACGAGGCUGUGCACACACACGUUAUCAUCUGUACACAAACCUAUACACAUCUCCUUCCGGUUUCAGGCCUUGAUCCAUUCCUCCUCCAGCUCCCUCAGGCUUCAGGCUUCAGGCUUCGAGCUGAUCACAACUCUCAAGUUACCAGCCAUGGCGGCCAAGGCCACCUCAUGCUUCACCUUCCUCAAAGAAGCGCUGGUCCUCCCCACGCAGAACCCCAAGCUCUUCGCCCCAAUCUUCAUCCUCCUUGCCGUCAUCGCCUUCCUCGUCCCCGCGGUCAACGUGGUCUUCAUCCAGCCGCUCACCGCCGAGAUGCUCCGCCACCUCGCCGAGAUGCAGACAACCGACCCCUCGACCGCCGAGUUCGCCAGGCUCUUGCAGGAGAUACGGCAGGAAACGAGGGAGCUCGUCAUCAUCACCGUCGCCCUCACGGUCGUCACCCUGGUGCUCGUCUUCGCCAAGCAGAUCCUCUCCUUCUCCGCGGCCUGCACGACCUACUCCGGCGACCGCUACACCCUCGCGGAGCUCCUCCGCAGGCUGACCAAGUGGGGAAACCUGAGGGGCCCUCUCGUGACCGUGGGCGUGGUCACCGCGCUCCAGCUCACGUUCAUGGUGCUCCUCGGCGUCUACCUCUCCAGCGUCAUGCGCCACUCGGGGUUGCUCUCCGUGCAAGGCGCGCUCUUCGUCCUCGCCUUCCUGGCCUUCAUCUACUUCGGGGUCGUGGCCGUGGUGGGCGUCGCCGUGUCGGUGGCCGACGAGGGGUGCCGCGGCGUGCGCGCGCUCGGGCGGGCGUGGCGGCUCAUGACGCGGGUGAGCAGGAAGGAGGGCGCCUUGCUGGCGGCGGUGAUGGUCCUCCUGCCGACCGUUUUGAGCCCGGUGAGCGCGCUCGCGCUCGCGUACGCGAAGAAGAGCAUGGCGGUGGGGCUCUGCCUGCUCGCCGUGCAGGCUCUGCUGUCCGGUGCGGUGGAGCUGUUCUACAUCGCGGCGGCCACGGUGUACUACUACAAGGCCAUGGAGAGCAAGGGCGUGAUGGUCCUGGCUUUUGAUGGCUAUGCCAAGAUACCUUCCCGUGAGGCAAAUGUCUGAUUGAUCGGCCGGCCCCUGUAUAGUGAGUCAUAUAUAUACUUGUGGUGCUUCCUACCUGUGUGAUCAUUAUCAUUGUACUACAUACUAUUUUACUAUGUCAAAUCUUGGAAUAUGUAUACAUACAUGAGAUAAGAGUAAAAAUAUAUGUGUGUAGGUCAGCAAAUUAGUAUCCCCUCCUUUUUAUCAUCAAUUGCUCAUAUCCAGGUCAUGAACUUUAGAUUAGUCAGUCAAGGCAGUGAACAGAGCCAGAAUCUUGCAAGGUGUAGUGGAGUUAUUCUAGCUUAUAUUCAUCCUCUGUACCACAAGUUAAGGGUACUUAUAUUAGUGUUUCCAAACAACAAGUAUUUAGAUGCAGAAGGAGUAUAAGCCAGCAAAAACCCUUAAUCUUUUGCAUAACACAACGUUGCGCUUAACCAAUGGCAUGUCAACAUAUAGACAGUGUCAUGAUACCAUUCUUUUCAUCCACAAGUAAACGCAAGGUCUUAGAUUCUUUGCCUGCAUGAUCAUUCUAGCAAUGGCGUCAUUAGUAUUUACAUGACGCAUACCUUCCACUAAAGCAAUCCAAUAUCUAAUAUCACUUUAUUAAAAAAAUAAAUAUCAAAAAAUUUAAUAUCAGUUCCUACCUCUCACUAUACCAACAAAACAUACAACGUUUGCCUCAAAUCAUAAAAAACAAGAACCGGUCACUGCUUCAUGAAAAACCUAUCAAAAAGUGGGUUGGGCUUGUAGUGAGAAGGGUUAGAUCGACCACAAAACAUAUUCAUGAGGGGACUAUUGUGGUUCAAGAAGGCGUGGCUCCAUGCCGCAUCGAUCAACAACAACGAGCUCCAAAUGGCGUCGAGCAACGACCACUCGAAGAACUCAAGGGUGAAGAGGAGAUAGAGAGAUGGAUGUGUUUUAAGGAUUUACAUGAUCGAUGGACGAAUAUCGUUACUAUGGGUUGAUUUCAUAAAAUACUGUGAUGCACACAUUGACUGAGGUCCAGAAAUUAAAUUAAAAAAAUGCAGGUAUGUGCAUGUGGGAGGGGGGGGGGGUGGCAAACACACAACGGCGGUGUGCCUGCGUCUGAAGUGGUCUAAUUCAGACUGAUUUGUAUGUAAAUGAAAUAACAAUAGAGUUGAUGUACCACUCUUGCGGGGUUAUCAAGUUUAUGUAUAGCUUUGUUAUCGUGAUGCAAGUUUAUGUAUAGCUUUGUUAUCGUGAUGUAAGUUUAUGUAUUAAUAUAAGCUUAAUUAACUAUCAAAUAAAUGAAGUUGCAAAUGUUUAUCAGAUGAAGUGCCAAGAGGACGCAAGCAUAAUAAUGAGCAUGCACCCGACACCUGCAUACCAAGGCGCAUACUAUCA
rnacentral:lncRNA from 1 species